CUUUCAGGGGUUACACAACAUCAUUGACCAAGACAUGGUGAAAUCCUGGGAGAUUCUCUAUGAUUCAACUGACAGAUAUACAGAUAGAUGGUUGUCUUCAGGUAGUAAAUCAUCACUGACAAUUUUGAAAUUAUCAUAGUGAUGCAAGUUGCUGUAUCUCUGUUUGCCUCACUCUUAUCCUGCAAUGAUUCAGUGAAUUAAAUAUAUUUCAACAUGAUAUGCAUGAUUGCUUCUUUUCCACAUUGAGACACAGGUAAAAUUGCUUGAAUACUUUGUUGGAUGAGGUUACUUUUUCACAUUGGUGUGAUAUGGGACACAAUGUAAAGUUUGCAAGUGUUAACUCUUUGGCCCAAUUUUUUACAUUGGAAUGAGAUUUUAUUGAAAUGCUACUCUCAAUGGAAUGCAACUCAUACUGUACGUUGGUCAUGUUUGACAUUUUUGACAAUGGAACCAGGUCUGAUCUGGUGUAGUGGACCUGAUGUGGUAUAGACCUGCUUAACCCUAUGCUUGAUGGUCUCUAUUAUUUAGCUCAUUUCGCUUGUUGCGUUCUGGUGGUUCAUCAGAAUUGAUCAGCUGUGCUUUUGAAGAGAUUAGAUGUAACUUAUGUAUGUGUAAUUGAUCAGUGUAAAUCUCUGCAAUGCAGCUCGGGGGUGCUUGGAGCACUGUGCUGCUGGGAACACAGACCUCAUACCCCCUAUAGACUCAACUCAUAGAUCUAAUUGUGCAAGGACUGGAUGUGAUCAUGUAAAUGUCUUAGUGACUUCUGGAUCACUGAUUCCUAGCCUUGCAAAUGCUUACUCUUUCGACUGGAUGGUCUGAUUGCUUGUGAGAAUGGUCAGUCACUUUCUUCCUGAACUGUUUGAGGCACUCAGGAUGUAUGAUUGUGCAUGUGGUCUUGUUUGCAUUAGUGUUUCAUUCAGAAUGUUGGUUAUACCUACCCACUUAAGCUUUACUUGGAAUUAAUAGAUAAUUAUUAAGAUGAGCUUCUAGUUUUGUCAUAUUUAUUCAUCUUGAAAACUCAAAUAGCAGGUUAGGCAUGUCAAUGGGGAGGGUCUGGUUUGUAUCCCUUUGAUCCAGAUCUAGACCCAUUUAAUUUAGUUAGAUCCAGACCCAAAUCUAGACCCUUUGGGUCUGAAAAAGUAAGUCUAUAGCUAGACUCUUAUGAUCUGGGUAUCCAAUGGGCAUCCAUGGGUAUUUUCUGAACAUAUCAAAGUAAAAAUGUAUUUAAAAUUUAUAGAGUUCAUAAAUAAUAUAAAUACCAUCCAAUUUUUAUUUUCAAAUAAUAAAAUUAACAUUCGACAAGUUGAAUGCAAUAUUGUGAACUCAAAGAAAGAAUUAUUAUUGACUACUUCUAUAUAUUUUCAAAGAUUCAACUGCAUCCGUAUCCAAUAUUUCAUUUGUUUGCCUUUACCUUUUCUUCUUUUCUUGAAAAGUUUUUAUCAAUUACAAUGACAACUGGAUUAGUUUUUAAAAAAGAAAACAACCAUAACAUAUAUAAAUAUUUAAUCUUAUUAAAAAAAUGUAAUUUUGUGCCUCUUUUUCUUAUUUAAACCUCAAUGUUGGUAGAUGUCUUGCAAUCCAGCACUAAAAUAGUGAAUGAAAUAAAAGUCAUUUGACCAAGGACCGAUGACAAAUAAAUAAUAGAAUAAGAAGAUUUACAAACACUUAUAUUAUUUUUUCUUUGAUUCAAUCCAAUCAUUAGUAGUCACUAAUAUUUCAACCAUUUCUAGAAGCAAUUUGGCACGAGUCUCAUCAAUCACCCAACCACCAAUACUAAAUGCAGAUUCUAAUGCCAUAAAAUCUUACUAUAUUCGAUCUAAUAGCCAUAAAAUAUUAGAUUAUUUUAUAAAUUUACUAAUAUAUAUUAUUUAAUUAAAUAUAUAUAUAUAUGGGUCUGGUAAGUUCUGGUACGAGUCUGGAGUUGGAUAUGAAUUCUAGAAAACCAGACCCUACCUAAACCCACGACUCUCUCAUAGGAUUUGGAUCUGGAUAGAUCUGGAUUUGAGAAAUUAAAUCCAAACCCUACCCAAUAUAGUGGGUCUAGGUUGGAUUUGGGUAAGAUCUGAUCCAUUGACAUGCCUAUAGCAGGUGUUCAUGGCAAUUAGUAUCACCUUGUUUCACACUAGGCUAAGGAUGCCUUUAUGAUUUAGUUAGAUGCAUAGACUUGAAUCUAAUGAAGGAAUUCCUUAUUCUUAACCAAAAGUUGUAACCUGUCAGAUGUGGAAGUCUGUGAGAGCAAGCAUAUUUUGUAAGCAUGCUCUGAAUAAUAGUCAACAAUGGACGAAGAUAACUGGAUUUUACCUGUGAAAUUAGAUAUCCCCAAAAAAUUAUUGCUUGAAAAUGGAAGAGAUGCUUAUUUAAAUCUCACACCCAAAAGAACAAAAAGGAGAGAAGGGAAAACAAGAAAGAAAAGAAUGUGGAUGGCCACAUCCCAUUUCCGAUUUUUCUGUAAUCACAUUUUAUUUGUCCCUUCAUUAUUGCUUCAUAGAUCAUCAAUGUGUAGCCAUCUGCUGUGAAAGGCUUAUUGUACUCAUGCCUAAUUGAGAAUUCUACCAUUAUUUGUCGAUUGUUUUGAGAUAAAUUAAAAGAAUCCUCAAGUUCAUAGAGUUACAUGUUAGAUUUAGCAAGAUGGCUUGCUCUACAUGAGAAUGGCAGUGCGGGUGUCAUGUUUUUAACAGAUUGAACUGACAAGGAACAACUUGUGUCCAAUCUAACAUGCAUGCUAGACUUUGAAGUUUCUUUUUGAGAUAACUAAUUGCUGUUAUGAUGAAACAUGUUGCAUUGCCUUUUUUUUUGGUUUCUUUAAGCAGAUAUACCUGCGCGCUUGUUUGUUAUUUUUAUUUUACUGUACAUUAUUGUUAUUUAUUUUUUAGGAGAAAUAGAUUCUAACGUUUCAACAAUAUUAUCAGUGUAUAGCUCAUGGGAAGUGGGGAAGCUCCAGUGCUUUUCAUGGAUAAGAGACGAUUUAGCAGGCCAAAUGUCCAGUUUUGUUGUUGGCGACGGUUGGGAGGAAUGUGAAGCUGCAGAAGCAAUGAGAUGGCCAUUUGUUAAAGUUGAUCCAUGGUCAACCAGUUAUCAUAGGUUUCCAGGCCUGACAUUGAAAGACUUGACUCUAUCGUCUGUUGUAUAUGGAAAUCCUGAGGGAGAAAACGAAGAGUAAUUCAAUAUACUCAGAACACAAACUUAGUGCUGAAGUUAGCUGAUUUUGAGGCCCUGCUUGAGUAAAUUGAGGCUGCAGUUUAUGCAAUAAAAGUUCCUGAGAGCCAUAUUCUUCUGGAUGGUGAACUGAGUAGGAUCAUUUCGAUAGCCAGAAUACAGUGGCUGGUUCUAUUCUUCAACUUCCAAAGGAGUAGAUCAAGUGCUUUCCACUCUUCCUUGUGCAUGGCUUCUUUACCAACUUCCAUGAAGAAGAAGAUGAUGACCAAGCCAUUGGAACACAUUCAUGGAAAAACGUCCAAGAGAUGGCAAAUGUUUUACACAUCCAUGAAAAACGUACAAAGAGAUGCCAAAUGUUCUUUUCUCUUUAAUGGGUCUUGCAAUAUGUUAAUAUCCAUGCGCAUGCACAUUUUGGCAAUUGAAACCUAUAAAUGAAUGAUUUGGAUAUUCCUCGCCCAGAUUAAAGUUAAAAUCCAUGGUCUAGGGGUGGAUUAUAUAUAUUUUUUUGCCUUAUUCAAAAUUGUCAUCCUUAAUGUAGAAAGCCAUGAGCCAAAAGAUUUCGAGUCUAUUACCUCGAGCUGCUUUCAGCGAGGAGGUUUUAGUCUAAUGUUAAAAUUGAAUAGCUAAAAUUGAAACUCCAAAAAUUAGAAAUAUGGGUUCAAUCUGCCAUCUUUCUUUCUUAAAUCCAAUCUCUAAUCUUUCAAAAAACAAAUCCCUCCCUUUAAAGGGGCAUAGUUUAUCCAUUUGGUGCAAAGUUUAUCAAAAGAAUUGGGCCAAAGGCUUUAAGCUCUGUUGGUGGCAUGGAUUGCCUUGUUUUAAGUCCAUACAUUUGAAGGGCCAAUUUUAACUUCAAUACCAGACCAGGUCUUAUAAGGUGGCAUAUCUUCUUCUGAAUUCUUGAAUCCAGUAUGAGAUUUUAAUUUUUGGUCUCACCUUCAAAUUAUCAUAUGAUGCGACGCUAAUUGUAGAAUCCUGAAUUAGUGGUUUCCAAGGAUAAGGAGAUAGGCUAAUCCAGAGUGUGUUUAGUUGCAGAAUCCUGAAUUAGUGGUUUUUAAAGGAUAAGUAGAUAGGCUAAAUCCAGACUGUUUUUAAUUUCGUCCAUAUACCACAUGGCUGUGAAAUAAUCACUCCACUCCGUUGCUGCCUUCAAUAAGGACGUAACAAAAAAGAUCAUCACCAGCUAAGGCGAUGACUGAUGAGUUCAUCAUGUUUCCACGAAUCAAACCGGACCCUAUGAUUGUAAUGAAUUUAGAUUCUCGUACCUUUGACACUAACUCGUUGAUGCAACUAAUUACUAUGCAAUUUAUCCUGAAACCCAAAAGGCAGGAAAAAAACCAUCUAAUAAUUGAGCACCCCGCAGAUUGAAUCGUCCCUAUCGGAUAGCUAUUAGAUCUGGACACCAAUCAUGACGUCUGCCUGAUAUAAUCUGUUGUCAUUUGACGUAUACAUAUACAUAUUUUCUUUGUCAACACAAGUUGGUUGAAUUAGUAAGAACGAAUAAUUGGUUGUGUGUUCAAAUUCAACUGCUGGUGUGAGAGCUAUCUUGGUGAGUGAGUGAUUUUAGUCUCGGGUCAUUGCCCUGAUCCGUAGUGAUGAUCGAAUUCAUCCAGAUAACUUUUUCCUAUAUAUAUAUAUAUAUGUGAUAAUUUUCUGUACUGGACGAUCCAGAUCUAACCUACAUUUUUUUAAAGAUGGGUGAUAUCCAUGAAAAGUAAGUCCAAAUUUUUGACAGGUGAACGAUAGCUGAUGAUGUGAAAACUGCAUUGAUGGGUGAUUUAUAAGAAUUCUAUAAAUGACCUAUGGCCUCGGGGGAUUACCUCUGAUCCACGUGGUGGUGAUCGAAUUCGCCCAGCUAACUUUUUCUUAUAUGUACGUGUCAGAGAUAGAGAGAGAGAUAUUUUUCUUUAUUAUACUAUCCAAAUCUAACCUACAUUUUUCUAGAUGUUUCAUGCUUAAUAGUCAUCAAUAGCCAAAAUUAUCGCAAACCCUCCAAUCAACGUACUCAUUAAGGUGAUAUCCAUGAAAAACAAGUCCAGAUUUUCGGCAGGGGGGACGAUAGCAACCUCAUCCGAGUGAUGAGGAUGUUCACUUGAAACGAUGCCCAAGUUUGACAGUCUGUUCAAGAUGUGUGAAUGAGGGGGGUCCUUAAAUCUUCAUCAGGGAACACUUAGAUGUGCUGCCAACGUUUUAAUUUUGUCUUUACAUUUUGUUAAAAAUGAUGUGGCGUGAAUUAUGUAGGCCCCAAGAGAGCAAAGUCUGGGGAAGAGAUUCAACUUUCACUGAUUUUCUUCUUACCAUGAAGGGAUUUGUCCAGUCAAUCGAGAAAGUGUAAAGCCAACUUUUGAUAGGUUGCAAAUUGGUUUAUGGACGAGAUCUGUUUUGGAUAUUUUUUGGGUUAGCGCUAGGCAAAGAGAUAACAUGAACUCAUCGAUUGGAAGAUUACACAAGUUCAAAGCAAAUAAUUUUUUUUUUUUUUUUUUUUGUGUAAACGGGAGGACUCGAACCCGAGAUCUCUUGCUUACACUCCCUCCCCCGUACCACCCAACCCAACCCUCCCCCCAAGUUCAAAGCAAAUAUUGAUAUAUAUAUAUAUUUUGUAUAGAUUGUGAUUUCUAUUUUCUGGUCAUUCUUUUUAUUACGAUAAAAUAUCAUAAUUUCAUUAAAAUUUGUACUAAUGGUAGAACUUUAACUAUACAUUUUCUGGUCAUUUUUAAGUAGGUAGAUCCUUGUAUAAUCUAAAUCUCCAUAUUUCUGUAGUUUUGGAAAAAGUAAAUUAGUGUUCACUCCUUGUAUUUUAUAAAAAUUUCCCUUUUACCUCCUUCCUUUUUUUUUUUUUUUGGUGUAAUGAUCUUUAGGUCUUUUUAAAACAGAGUAAUAAUUCUUUUGAGGUAAAAAGAGUAAUAGUUCUAGGUAUACUAAGAGUAGUAAGAAUUUUACUUAUACGAAUAACUAAAUUAAUUUUUUCGAAAAAAAAGUCUGUACUUGUCUUGUCCAUUUUACCUGAAAAGUACGAACUUGACUUUAUAGAACACUUUUUUGUGAUGUGAUGUAUGUGAGAUAAAAAGGUGAUUGAGAAUAUAAAAAGGUAGAUUGAGAAAUGUGUUUAUGAUGCAAGCGAAAUAUUAUUUGAGAUAAUUUGGGUUUCCAAACACUCUCAUGCUCUUAUGAGUGUCUAGCCAAAUGUACGUUAAAGAACAUCAUUAAAUUUUUCAUUAGUGUAAAAACUAGAGCCACCAUAGAUUCCCAGUCGGCAAAUUAUCAAAGCCCCACGAGAGUGCAAGGUGACAUAAACACCCACAAGAAAGCAAAUGGCCAAUUGUGCUAAAAAAAACUGCCUAUUGUUUCUCUUUUCCAUGUCAUGGUGGGCUGCAUUUGUGUAUAAUUGAUGAAAUGAACUUCAACUUGUAAGAUUAUUAAUUUCUGGGGCCAGCACGAUUGCAGGUAGCAGUUGUUCAAAAAGGUUCACGAUCAUGAUUUGAUCAAAAUAUAUAUAUAAGAUUCAGAUCACGUCUUAUACAUUAAUUUUAACAUUAUGUGUGGGAUUCAUAAAAUUUUAUUCUAUAUUUACAUUUUGAACAAAUAAAAUUAUAUCACAUAGAAUUGAACAAAAUAUGAGCAUCAGAAGAUCGGACAUCCGCAUGUUUCAAGUUUCAAAGAGCCAAAAGGAAUUUUUUCUCUUCAAGAAACACAAAAAGGCAAAAAACCAAGAAUUUCAAUUCUUCUUGCUGCAUCAAUUGAUGGAUUUUAUUUAUAUAGAAGGGAGAUAAGAAUAUCCACUUGGGAUCACAAAAAGGAAUGCGGAGAACAGCCAAAAAAAAGUGUACAAACUACAAACCAACUGGUCCAGUCUCUUUAUUAUGUAUCGAUCAUCUUCCUUCAAUUCACUCGUAAUGUUGCUGUCUUGUGAGUUUUCAGCCUUUGAAGGGUCGCUGCCCAUGCUUUCUUCUUCAUACACUCCCUUGUUGCUCACUUAUUUGGCCUCCUUCCAACUCUCUCCCCUUUGUUUUAUUCACUUUUCAUAUUGUACCUUUUAUUUUCUCCUUUUCUUGUGGCAAAGACUUUUCUUUGGGAAUGGGGUGUCAAAUUCCUCCAAUACUGCUACAAAGAUAAGGGUUCGGUUGACAGGAACCGGUGGGCAAUCAUUGAGAGCGUUAAACUCCUUUUUUUUUUUUUUUUAAACAAAAGUGAAGUUUAUUCGGAAAUCUCAAUGCAGGGGUGGAAUGAAUGGAGUAUGUGUUUUUAUAUGAUAAAUUAAAUAUAAUUUAAGUUUAUUAACAAGUGGAUACUGGAUGUUCUAAAUUAACAUUUUUAUGUGACAUUGUCCUAAUAUAUAAGGGAGGAAAUGUUUUUUGCACUUCCUUUUUUUUGUUAAUCACACUCUUACUAUUAUUUUUAUUGUAUAAUUUUUUAUUUAUUAAAUUAUCUAAUAAAAUAAAUGGUGCGAGUACAAUUAACAAAAAAUAGAGUACAGAUAACAGCUUCGCGCGUAAGGCCACGAGCAAUUGUCUUUUUUUUUUUUUUUUUUUUCAAGUUUCUUAAAAUGGCAUGCGAAAAGUGUCUCAUGAUUGAGCAGACAAUUUGUGGUUCUCAAAGAUAGCACCAAUUUUUAAUGUACUUAGACCUUGUUGGACAAAGUUCAGCUACUCAAUUGUUUUGCCGCAUCUCAAAAGUGCAAUAAUGAAACGCAACACUCCAGAGAGCGUUCUUGGCUACAUUCAGUCGAACAAAGCCAUUUGAUUUCUCAAGCCGUGCAAGUUUCCUUCCUUUCUUAAAUAAAAGCUCAUUUUGAAAAGUUCUUGAGAUGCUAGACUUCUUGAAUGAUAGCCUUAAGUAGAAAACAGUAGAAAGAGUCAAAAAUCUUGAAGCAUGAAGAAUGGGGUAUACCAGGCUACUAAUAAAAAAUAUCGGCAUAGUCUAUAACCACAGAUUCAUGAAAAUGACAGUUGAUUUUCUCAAUUACUUAAAUUAUGGGAAAAUUACUUUGCUUGGAUAGCCCUUUUUUUUUUCUUGGGUAUCAUAAACACGUUUUCGAGUUAUCUUCUCAAUUUUUCAAUAACUUUUUAUUUUAUAUACAUCUUAUCACAAAAAUAUUAUAAUAUUAUGAAUUAAUCUUAUAUAUACUAUGAUAUCAUCAUUAGAUAUAUAAUAUAUGUGCAAAUUUUGAAUUUGAAAUUUAAAAUUUGCUCAUGUUUCAUUCAUCCAAUCGUGAUAAUGUAUACACUGACAGUAUAUAUAAAAUUUACUCAUAAUAUUUAAGCAAAUAAAUAAUCUUCAUUCCAAACAGAUACGACUCUGAACUUGGAACUCCUUAAAUUUCUCAAGCCAUGCAAGUUUCCUUCCUUUUUUCUAAUUAAAAACUCAUUUCAAAAAGUUUUUGUAAUGCUAGAGUUCUCGAAUGAUAUAGCCUAAAGUAGAAAGAGUGAAAAAUCUUAAUGCUUGAAGAAUAGGGUAUUAGGCUACUAGUCUAAAAUGUCUAUAUAGUUUUAGCAUUAGAUUCAUGAAAAUGAUAUAUAGUUGAUUUUGUCAAUUACUUAAGUUACGGAAAAAUUACUUUGUUUGGAUAUAGUUUUUUUUUAAUUCCUUUUGUUGUAUCAUAAACACGUUUUGAAACCAUCUCUUUAUUUUACAUAUAUCACAUCACCAAAAGUAUUAGAGUAUUAUUCCAAAAAAAAGAUUAAAUAAUCUCCAUUCCAAACAGAUAUGAAUCUGAGCUUGGAACUUCUUAAAUUUGCACGUAUAGUUUAUGUAAAACAUUGCGUUCCAGGUUGAGCAGCGAAAAGUAGUAUUAAUGUCUCUUUAUGUUUUGAUAAGAUUGAAAUGUCGAUGCAUGCAUCGGACAUUUGAAAAUCAGAUUGACCAAUUACUUGAAUGUUCUUGAUGCCAUUUUCAUACUUUAGGAAAUGGUCAUACGUAUUUAAACUUGUUCAGUGUUGGCCUUCUUUUGAUAGUUCAACCGCUCGCAAGUAUUUGUGAUGGACGUGGAUGGUUAGUUGAUUUGCUGGUAAUCUGAUUAAUUAGCCUCAUGGAGUCGUUGUCCAUCCUUAUCACUUCAAUCUAUUAUUGCUUUGGGUUUCUACUUUCUUUCUUGUUGUCUGCAGACAGAACGUUAAUUUCAUAAUCAUGUUCAGAGGUCAUGUGAAUAUUUUCUCUAGAAUCACGUACGAAAUCAACAAGAACAUGAGAUUAUCUUGCAAGAAAUGAACUUUUAUUCACAAGAAACUUUCCCAACUUUAUCAACAACACUAAAUACUUCUUGAAGAUUGAGGUGGUAGAAACGACUUGAAGGGUAGUUUUUCGUGUUGGGAAGUAAAUUAGAAAAAGGGUUAAAAAUAAAAAAGUCUCAUGUGAUAUACCUAAUAUACAGGAAAACCCUUUGUGGUUUCAAAACAGACAAAACGACAUCUCAUGUUUUAAACUAAUAGAAUUUGUUAAAUUUAACGAAAAUGACGGUCUCGACUGUUCAACUUACCGGAUUCCAUUAAGUUUACCGGAUUCCGUUAAAUUUAACGAAUUCUGUUAAUUUAUAAUUUAGUUCAAAACAUAAGAUGUCGUUUUGUAUGUUUUGAAAUCACGGGAGAUUUUUCUGUAUAUUAGGUAUAUCACACGAAACUUUUUUUAUUUUUAACCAUUAGAAAAACGUGUGAUGAUCUACACAUUCUACAUACACUUUAACAUCUGGUCAGAAAUAAGAUAAGUAACUUUUCUAAAGCAAAAGAGAUAAUAUGAUAAAAAGAUCAGACAAUUUUUUUGUAAUCCCGAAAGUUUGCAAUGAAACACAUGCAAAAUCAGUCUUAUCAAAUGUGUCCACAAUCUGCCAUUCUUCAGAAGUUUAUGCUAUUUAAAUUGCUCUCUAGAAUUCCUCUGGCCAAAAUUUUAUCUAACUCUUCCGUGGGAGAGAGUCCAGAUAAUUUUAUCUAGCCUUUCCUCAUGGAAGGGAGUGCUCUUUCUAUUUUUGUUUUUAGUUUGUCUUGUAAAAAUAAAUUCUCUCUUAGGGUUUCUUAGUGAUAGAUUCUUCUUUUCUAAAAUCUCUCAAUAAGAGUUUCUUCUCUUCUAAAUUGUUCUAGUGAGAGUUUAAUUCUCUCUUAGGUUUUUCCUUGUAAGAGUUUUGUUUCAGUUUUUAUCCUUUUUUUUGUCAAUUUUGAGAUUUCUCUAAUUUUCUCCGUUUAUUAUUGUCAAAUCUAAACUUUUCUUUUCUUUGAAUUUAAACCAAUGUUUAAUUAGAUCUAACUGUUAGAAAAUAUAUACAUAUCUAUAGAACUACAAUGAUUCAUCUAGAUGGAGGAUAUGUUGGAACUUAUCAUUAUUUGUAUUGAAUUUUCAGAUCUGUUGUAUCUAUUGAUUUUAGAUUUGUACCUGUGUCAUAUUUGAUUUGACAUAUUUUUACCAUUAGUGCAAAUUUAUUGAAUGAAAUGAUCUUUCUAUUAAAAUUCUCCAACUAAUUAACGCAGGUAGAAAUCUUGGUUGUAUUUGGAUGCACUUUAGAAUGAAGUUAUUGUAGUCUUUUUUUUUCCCUAGAAUUAUAAUCAUCUAGCUGUACUGCAUUCAUUGAAAAACUUGUAGAUUCUAUACUUAAUGAUUUAUAUUGCUUAAAUAUAUUAAAUGACACUUGUGCAUAUCCUAAAGUUACUUUUUUUUUUCUUGGCAGUCUUUUGAAGGCUAGGAACAAUACCAAAUAUCUGAUGUGAGACCAGCUUUUGGGUUUGAUCAAUAUUUCUUUACGCGCUAGAUUGACAAAUAUUUUUUAGAGUUCAACACUUAUAAAAGUGUUUAAAAUUCAGGAGAUGAAAAUACUUAAAAUAUAAUGAUAAGAAGAUAGGAUAACAAUAAUCUUGGAAAUUCUAAUAAUGAAGAGUGAUCUAUAAUUCUUAAAAUCAUAGCGUCUAUAACAUUUCUAUUUUUUUUUAUAAAUAAAUACAUGGGAGUUAUAUAUCACGAAGGAUACAAGCGAAAUAAGUGUAAAACGUAUGGAAAACAAUGGACUGCAGCGUGAAGUCACCGAGACGAGACCAGGGGCAGGGACGGUCAACAGAGAAAUCGUUGAGAUCGAUUUUGUGCAUUUUGCAUAAGAUAUAAUUUAGUUUACACACGAUUUAAUUUAUUUUGUAUAAUGUGUAAUUCAGAACAAAAUUUUGUGAAUUCCAUAGAUGAUAUAAAAAAUAAUGUAUAAGCCAUAAGGUAAAAUCUGAAUCUUAAAAUUUUUUUUGGAUCAAAUCUUAGCCAUUUGCCUUUCGGAACUUCCGGCCCCAUUUCCCACCAGGAUAUAUGAUGCAAUUCUGUCCUUGAGAAAAAUGACAAGUUCAUGCCCCAUCACUAGUAGUUUGGAUCGUGUAAUUCCUGAUGCCAUAAGAUGAGGCGUUGGUUGAACUGUGCUUGCCGGCCGACAUGUGUGAGUGGCGACAGAAUGAAACCGUGUUGUUUUUCCAAGUCAAGCCAUGAAUGCACAAAGUCUUCUCACAUCGAAUCUUUUCCUACACGAGUUACAAGAGAUUUUUUUCUCCCCUACCUCGCUCUAGAAACUAGUAGAUACUAAUUCUAGUCUCAAUAAUUUCCUUUGUCUCUUAGCUCAGUGGACGAAUUUCACUUCACGCUGAGAAGACUAGUGGCUCAAAAUAAGAAGAGUUUUACCCGUUUGGAUUGUUAUUUUUCUAAAGUUUUUAUAAAAAAUUAUAUAUUUUUUAACGAGUUGAUGUAAAUGAAAUAAAAAAUAAUUAAAAAAUAUAUUUAUCAAAAAUAUAAAACCAGUGGUGUAUUGCGACCAUGACCCAGCAAGUUAAAUUUAAAUACAGAACUUUGAAUAUAUCUUAUGUACACAGUGUAUAUACUAUCACCGUUUGAUUCAUGACAUGUGUGUACAAGUUGAAUUUCAAAUUUAAAUUUUGUAUAGUUAUCAUUCAUUCAAUGCUAACAGUGUAUGCACUAUCAAUGUAGUGUAAAAGAAAGAUUAAUCCUAAAACUUUUGCCUAAGAAAAGGGUUUAAUUAUUGUAAAGUGGGUUUUGACUUUUCUUAAAGGAAAUGGAUGUCGUUUUGAAUAUUUACUUUUAAGUAUGGCAAAUUUGUAAAAGUAGAUGUUACAGCGACUCGUGUCAGCCGGCAGCUGGUAGCUUUUUUUUCUUUUUGUUUCUUUUAUCAUUUUGCCUUUUGUUGCUUUCAGUUCAUCUGUGAAAUCCUUUACAGUGGAGAGGGGGUAUCAAGAGAACAAGAGUUGAAACUUUUAUAAUAACAAUUUUUUUUCCUAGGGUAUUAUUACUCAGGUUGGGAUUCUCAUCAUUAGAAUUAGAUUACUCUUCAUUGAACUUUCUCUUCAUUUAUUUAUAUCUAAAUUACUAUAAUUUUAUAAAUCAUCUAAUUAUAUCAAUUACUUUUUUUAAUAUCUAGAUCAACAUAUUAAAAGAUGAUAUUCUUUUUCAAAAAUUUUGACAUUCAAUUUCGUGUGAAACAUUUGAAUGAUGAAAAAUAGGUCCAAAUUAUAAUAAAAUUUCUAAUGAUUAACCAGACGGCAAAAUUUCACCAAUUUCAUACAAAGUUUUAUGUAUAACUAACACAAGCGAUGAAAUAUACUCCCUCCGUUCCACUUUGAUAGCCCUGUUUUCCUUUUUCAUUCGUCCCAAAUUGUAGUCCACUUUCCAAUUGAAAAAUAUAGUUGUAUUUUAAUUUUUCUAAAAUACCCUUAUUCAAUGUAAGUUGUUGUUACUACAAACCUACUCCAUUUAACGAGAGUUGAUUCUUUUUUACUAUCAAUUCAAUUUUUUAUAAAGUUGUACUUUAAUUAAUGUGAGGGUAUUUUAGGAAAAUAGUUAUCUAAAUUGAUUGUUCCAACAGAGUUAACUACUUUUUCUUAAACUGUGUUAAAAAGAAACCAGGACUAUCAAGGUGGACGGAGGGAGUAUUAUGAAAGCUACUGAUUUUGGAAGAUAAUUUUUAAAUUAAUUUAAUUGUCUUGUAAUGAUACAAUGGAGAGGGACCUAGUCCAUUGGACUCAACUCUAAUUAAACAUUUCAAUUCCCAACAUAAUCAUGUGCUUUUUGUAUUUGGCAAAUGACAUAAUAAUCCCAUUAUAAGACAAGAUCCGAAAUUAUGGCCCUAUCCUAAUUUGUAAUAUAUACCUUUUUUUACCACCAUCAAAAGAUCUAAAAUCUAUUUGCAAAAGCAAACAGGAGCAUAAAAAAAUUAUCAUCCAAAAUUAAGUGAAAUAGAGCCUAUUAAGUUUUCAUUUGAAUGCCAACAGGGAGCAAUUGUAGAUAUAUUGAUGAAUUACGAUAAAUUUAGCCACCAUUGACAACCAAAAAAGUGAAAAAUAAGUGCCAUACAAAAGAAAGGGACUGAUAAUUACAAUUCGCCGCAAGUACAAGAUUUCAGAUGGGCAAAGACGGGGCAGCGGUCCAGGAAUAGUGGACCACCGUCGAGAGUGUUAGUCACUUGCCAUAGAUCAGUCCACAAGGGUAGAAAGCGAUGAAGAUUUAAUUGAAGGCCCAGCUUGAAACGAGAAAGCUUGCGUGGUCCACUCUGCCUAGUCCAGUCCGUCCCACCCCACCCAAGAGAAAGGAAAGGUGCGUGUGGCUAAACCCUCCAGUCACGUGCAUGCUUUUGGGACACAGAGAAUCAUGAGAAAAGUUGAUCUUGAUGCGCCACCAACAGCUCAUGGGAAAAUCAUCUGUGCACCAUACCCCUUUCAAUUCCAAAAGUAGAAAAUGAAAUAAAUUUUGCACCCUACAAAAAUGAAACAGAGGCAACCAAACAUGGUAAAAAAAAAAUCUACCUACAAAAUAGUGCUCAGUCAACUUUUGAGUAUGUGUGUAUUCGCACCUUUUUGUCUUUUUAAGGAAAGUUCGUGCAUACUCGUUGAUACUCAAGACCACGGGCAGGCAACCGGGCAGAACGGCUGCAGGUGCAAUCGUUUCUGACGAUUUUGUGUAUUUUGUAUACCGCGUAAUUUUGUUUGCACAUGAUAUAACUUUGUUUGCAUAACGUGUAACUUUAGAACAAAUUUUUAUGAACCCCACACACGUUGUUAAAAACGAUGUAUAAUAAGUGAUUUGGAUCGUACAAUUUUUUUGGACCAAAUCCUGACCGUGAACUGUUCAAUGACGGUCUUUCUGAUGACCGUCCCUGCCUCGUCUCCACUUUGAGUUGCAACAAUUGACACUUUCCCUUUUUUUUUUUUUUUUUGAAAAAAGUUUUGAUGAGUUCGGCUCCGAUUACCACUAUCGGUUAGGUUAGGCCUCCGAGACCAUAGGUUGCUUACAAGAGGCACUUACAAAUCACUCACCAAUACAACUCUCACAUCGAUAAUGAGAUUCGAAUACACAAUUUUUUGUGAGAAAGUGGUCUGUCCUUACCGAAGAGUCAAUAACAAUUGAGACUUUCCUGCCAGUUCUAUUUUUUUUUUUUUUUUUGACAUGAGGAAAAGAACCCUCCAAUGAUAUCAGGAAAAUUGGAAUUUGCAAACAAUGGACAUGAGAAAGGCAUCUUCAUGGUUUGGAAACUUGAUGAUUUGACACAUAAUCAAGGAAAAAGAAUGCAGGGUUCUUCAGACUUCGCAAUUUGAGAAGUGUACGAGUAUGCAAUGUAUGAUUUUUUUUGCGUGAAAGGUUGUGUCUACGCGACAAAUUGUGAAAAUCUAUCACUUGUUUAACAUUUCAUUUGUCUACUUACAAUCAAUCAACAACCUUUCUCUUUCUUCUCUCUCCCUCUUGAUAAGCUGUGUGCUUGCCCCACUCCACUCUGUAAUGCUUAACUGAAAUCAUAGCCAGAAAAGAGGCUUUGAACUUCAAUGCAUGGGGUAUGCAACAUUACCUGCUAGGUAUGGCGUUUAUGAUUUAACAGGCAAAUUAACUUUUGAUUGCAAUAGUUUUUCUCCUUUCGGACUCCUCCAAUUCUCUCCACCUAUUUGCCUUUCACGAAAAUCCAACUGUAACUGACUGUGGUCUGACCUCUGUCGUCUAUCUAAGAAGAACGGAAUGUUAUAUGAGAUACUUAAAUCUCUGGGACUAAAGGAUUUUUCACUUGCUUCUUUUUGCAGGGGAUGUAAUUAGUAAGGAUGAUAGGAGCUGUUCUUUUUGACGUCUCGGAAGCAGUAAAUUGUUAAAGAGUUUGCAAAGAAAAGAAAUCUCUUUUCCGGUCUUGCAAUGCCAGUCCCUCUUGCUCCGUAUCCAACACCUCCUGUUCCAUUUACACCACCUGCAACUGGUAUGGUAUCAUAUCCAGGAGCAUUCAUAGUCUGCAAGAGACUUGAAUGGACAUAUGCUGCUUUGCUGCAUAGGAUAUUGAAACAUGUUUUCUUGAAUUGCUUAUGUUGUUUAAGUUAAAAAGCUAGAUGGAAUUUGUGACUUCCAUCAUUUUUCACUUUCAUAGCCACCUACCGAUAAUUCAACUGAAGGAGUUUACUGCAGAGAAGCAUCAGAUUUUGUCAAGUCAAGCACUUGCACUUGAAGAUAGAAUUUUUUUACACAAAUUCAGCCUGUUGAAUACAAACAAGAACAGUAAAUUAAGGCAAAAGAAAGCAUUCUUCAGAUUGACAAUAAUAAUCAGUAUUCAAAAGGUUUUUGCACUUAUAGCAAUUUUGGAACAAUAAAUUUUUCUGGUUUUUGUUCUGUAACUUCACAAAUUUGUAUGGUUCUACAAAAUGAUUUGACUUCAAAGCUUCCUGUCACCGUGAAAUUUUUUGUGCAUCUCUUAAGUAGAAUUCACCUGUCUUAUGAUAUGUUGCAUAUAGUCUCUGAUCCUCAAUAAGUUUGAUGGUUAUCAGGUGCACAGAGCCAGCUUGUUUGUUCUGGUUGUCGAAACCUUUUGGUGUAUCCGGUAGGAGCAACCUCUGUGGUGUGUGCAGUUUGCAAUGCAGUCACAGCUGUACCUCCUCCUGGUAUACUUGCAGUGACUCCCCAACUCAUACCUCUCAAUUUUCAUUCUAGUUAAAAAGCUAACAAAUUUAGGAGGGCUUUUCUCAGUAUCGAUUUUCCUUUAGCAGGCACUGAGAUGGCUCAGUUGGUUUGUGGGGGCUGCCAUACUUUGUUAAUGUAUAUUCGUGGAGCAACAAGCGUGCAGUGUUCUUGUUGUCACACCAUCAAUUUAGCAAUGGAAGGUAAAUUAAGUGAUAGUAUGGUUUUCUGAAGAUUGUAACAUCAUUAAUCUGAGAUAGCAGCAGUUAAGUAUCAUGUGUAUUUUAUGGCAGCAAAUCAGGUAGCACAUGUCAAUUGUGGGAACUGCCGGAUGCUGUUGAUGUACCAAUAUGGGGCGCGAUCUGUAAAAUGCGCCGUCUGCAAUUUUGUGACAUCAAUUGGGGUCAGUAUAUAUUUUGUUUAACCAGCUUUUACAAGUUUAAAUCAUAAUCAUGGUAGGUAGAUAAAUUUCAGGAGGAGCUAAAAAGAAAAACUUGAUCAAAUUGUAAAGCUAUCUGCAGCAUAAUGCAGAUUGCAGUGUAUCCAAGUCCCAGACACUGUGAGACAAGAGAUGCCUACUAAUUGUGCAGCUGGACACUGCAGAUGCACAAUAGUUGGAUCAAAUGAACUAGGAGCAAAAGAUUAAGUUGGUUGAAUAUCAGAAGAUGUUCUAGCAAACUCUUGCUGUUAACAGUUGCAAAAAAUUUUACUUUCCUGAUUAUCCUCCACACAAAUUAUUCAGUUAACCAUAAGCCAUUCACAUUCUUGAUCCCAAGAAUGUCAUAUGGUUCAAUAAAUGAUAAUCAUCAGUCAUCCGCUGAUUAUCAUGAUUGCAAUUAUUGAUCUCUCACUUAUAAGGCAUAAGGGAACUUCCCAGAAAGUAACAUUUGACAUUCUGGCGGAAACACCUUAGUAAGCUCCUCCUCUUCCCAACCUUCUUCACAUGUGCCAAACAUCCACUCUCUGAAAACAGCAAUUUUGCCCUUUCUUUUUCCCCUCUUGAGUUCCUUGGAUCUCUGACCAGCUUGCAUUCUGGAAUGGCCCGUACACUUUGUUAAGUACUAUGACUAGAUUAAAACUUAGUUAAGCACUUUGAGGAUAUAUGUUGGUGGAGGAGAGUAAUAACUUUCAGCAUUGUCACAUGUAGAUAAUGGAACCCUAUGCUAAUCUUAAUACAAAAUAAUCAUGUCCACUGUUUCAACUACAUGUAACAAAUUUCCAUUGAACGACAGGCAUCAGCGAGCACUAUUGAGCAGAAGUUCAACAGCUGAACUCUGAAGUUUUCUGUUUCAAUACCACAAUAUAUUGCCAUUUUGAAGAGCUGCCAGAAACUGCAAAAUUCCUGGAAGCAGAGAAAGUAUAUUUCUGCUGCAUUGUAUAGAGUUCUUUUUCCAUCGCGUGAUUUUGAUAUGAAUAAGCAAAUUUUCCUGCGUAAAUGCACAAGAUUAUUAUCUAUGAAUUUUAGGUUGCUAGCGUUGUUUCAAAUUAUUGGAUAAGAAAAACAUCAUUUUCUUCUAGUGCUUCUUCUAAUUGCAUCAAGCACACGACAUCAGGCUGUAUAUUUCACUUUAUCCAUCUUUUUGAAUUGUCAGUGGGAUGCUGAAAUUAAAUGCUUACACCAACAUAUCAAUCUCCAAAAAUUGAGUUUUUCCAAUUGGAUAAUCCUGAAGAUAGGAAUCGGGUCAAAUGUUCCUGGUGAAAAAAGUUGGAUGCCUGAAAUUAUCCACAUGGGAUGUCUCAUCAAAAAUUAGACCUGGUCUCCUAGCAGGUGAUUGUAAUACCAGUUCAAAACCAAUGGGUCCAAUGGCCAGGGAGAAUCUCUUUAAAGCUCUCUUGUGCACUAGAUCGAAGGCUCAAAUCCCGCCUAAUGCAUCUCAAAGAAGCACAGUCCAUUCUUAAAAUAAUCUAAAAAAUGUAGUAGAUCCUCUAAUCCCUAUACAAGUCUCUUUAAAUUUCCACUUCCUAUAGCCUAGAUUAGUAUAGGAAUAUGAUAGAUGUUACUGUUUGCGGGGAAAAAAAUACCACUUCAAAUGUUACUUUUCCAUACUUUACUGUUCUAAUGUGGUAUUUUACUGUGGUAAAAAUUAAUUGUUCAUCGUAUAGAAAAUCUCCCACGUAAAAGUAUAGAAAGAGCAAAAGACACGGGGGCUCAGAGAGAAAACAAGAGUCGUUGUUUUUCUCCUUUUCAAAGUAAGAGUCAUGACCCUCCUCGAAUUGUUUCUUUCGAAAAUGCCAAUCAAGCGAGAAAACUAGCCGUCUCCGUUUUCUUCUCCUAGUGCAAGAGACAAAUCAAAUCGUCAAAACAAAUAUGGAGCUCCUAAGUAAAAGGGGGGGGGGGGGGGGUUAAUUCCAAUUUGUCCUCCCAAACUUUGGACGAUUACUCACUUCAGUCUCUAAACUUUAAAAUGGGACACCUAAGUCCCUAAACUUAUAAAUAUCUCCCACUUAAGUCCCUAAACUUAUAAAAUGGGACACUUAAAUCCCUAAACCCUUAUAAAAUGGGACACUUCGAUCACCAAGCAUUCAGGAUUUGUUAACAAUUUUCCUUAAGUGAGAGGUAUUUAUAAGUUUAGGACUUAUGUGUCCCAUUUUGAAGUUUAGGGAUUGAAGUAGGUAAUCGUCCAAAGUUUGGGGGGACAAAAUGGUAUUAACCCGUAAAAGGGUACUCCCCUUUCUUUUUGUUUUACGUCUCUCCUUUCCUAAUUACUACUAAAAACUAAGGAAGUUCCCAUAGAGGACAAAAGACUAGGUCGUUUCCUAAUAUCAAUUGGGAACAUGUUUCUUAGGUCUUCAGCUUAAAUUGGGAAAUCGCCACGCGGAUAAAUCUCGACUCUUCCAGACUUGGAGGCUAACUUAGGCGCGACCCCCGGAACGUCUAAGAAUCUUCAUUAAUCCACUUUUACCCCUUUUCUUGCUAUAUGCUUGAAAUUAGCAGCGGUUGUCAAAUAUAAGUAAAAUCCAUCCAAUAAUGCAAUAUUUGGCCAAAAUCAAGGAAAUAUAUUUACAAAUUCAAUAACAAUUAUACACCUUAUCAAUUUCUCUCACACUUAGCCCAUGUUUGCCCUCAAUCAUAAGAACAACAAAUCAAACAAUCGAGUUCAAACAAUAGUUAUCAUUCAAAUUAUCUAUAGUUGGAGUACAAUUAAAACACGUGUCAAGUAUUAGUAGCUAGCCUCCAAGAAAUAUCUCUUCAAUUAACUUUUAAAAUCAAAAACUUUUUCAAUUCUUGGCUAACUAAUUUAAAAAUAUAAAAUAUUUACCCAACAAUCAAUCGGCAAAUGAUUCGACUAUUAAGCAAAAAUUUCAACAUUAAAAUUUAUGAAUCAGCGGGCUAAUGUAACCAUCCACAUAUUUCCACUUUCAUACACAUUUUCACUUUCACUAUUAGCAUAACAUUUUUCUAAGAUGCCCCCUACACUUGAUUUUUCUUUGUUUUCAAUUUUUCAAGAGAAAUGCUUAGUUCUUAGCCAUUCAAACCGUUUGAUGCGAGCUCCGACAUCUACCAAAUGAAGGAAUUUGAUUACUCAUCUUUCAUUGCUUAAACACUAAAUACUCAUAACUAUCGCCACUUUUUGACACGAAAGUCAACACUUAUGGUGAAAACUCCUGGUUACUAGGUAAAAAAUACUAGUGAAGUAUAACCAAAUACUAUUCAAAAAUAAGUAAAAAAAUAAAAUUAAGCAUCACAAGUCUACUUCAUUUCUCAAACAUGGAGAAUUAAGAUUAGUAGUUGAACUAAUUUAUACGAAAAAUGUCAUACAAAUAUUUACAAUGCUUAGAGAAGUUAACCAAAAAGUACAAAAGUCACAAAAUUUUUAAUAUUCACCAAAGAGACAUUCUCAGAUUUCACUACGUCAUACUUGACACAUUAAAACAUAACACCUUAUAAUACCUUAGCAACGGUAAAAAUUUAAAAUGCCUAGCCAUUGAUGAUUACAAUUAGCCACAAAAAUGUACAAAAAUGAAAUGAAAUUCAAAAACUUUUAACAGAAAUUCCAAUAAAAAUGACUAAAAUGAAUAGUAUCAUGAUACUAUACCUCCCAUAUUUAAAUCUUACAUUGUCCCCAAUAUAAGCAAUAAAGAACAAAAGAAUCGAAAGGGAAUAACGAAACUUCCCUAAUCAACAAGGGGGCAUAACAACUAUGGGUAAGGGGCAAAAGAAGGAGUACAACGAACGGAAUGGUUACAGCGCUGACCACAAUUGACAAAGACAAGUGGCGGCGAUAACAUUCAAACUCGGCGACACUUUCCAAAUAGCGACAACAAGGAAUUCGUCGUUUGGAAUACAAGGUGGAGAAAAAAUUGAAAAGAAAGAAAGAGAUAAAUGAAAAAGAAAGAAAAGAAAAGAAGAAGAAUAAUUAGGGUUUUUGGGAAUUUUUUUUUGCCCUCUUGGCGUAACAAGACGCGGGCACAUCUUGUUGCGUUGUAGUAUUCUGAUCAUGGUUUUGAAAUUUUCACGAGAUUUAGUAUGUCCUUAAGACGUCGCCACAUGUUAUGUCUAGUUGUCUUCUGAAAUUGAAAUAUGAGUUUGUCAGUCAGUUAUGCGUAGGCACGCCUUGUCAGGUAGCAGUCUUCUAUUUACUAAAACAACAAAACAAAAAUCAAACACAUAAAAUAUAAGAAAUCUAAGAAAAAUAAUAAAAAAGUGAACUAAAAAGUGAAUUGAGUUGCCUCCCAAUAAACAUCUUUGAUUAGAUAUAAAACAUUAUUUCUCAAUCCGGUUGUAAUUUAAACUUUCUUGUAAUUGGUGAAAUUUCUUUAGAAUUCAAAUCACCAUUAUGUGCAAUCACCUUUUUUAACUUUUUAUCUAUUUUCACAUCAUAAGUUAUUUUCAACCCAUGACACUUGUCACAAUAACUUUUAACUUAUCCAUGCAAUUAUAUUCAGAAAAUUCUUGCAUAGAACGAUUAAUAGCAUAAAUGGCAAAUAUAGAAUGAAAGUUAAUAUGAUGUUUUAUAUUAUUAAAAAUAUUAAAAUGAACUAUUUCUCCAUCAAAUUCUAUCGUAAGAGUACUCUUACUAAUAUCAAUAUUAGUUUGGAUAGUAUUCGAGAAGAGUCUCCCUAAUAUAAUGAGUGAUGAAUUUGGAGAGCUUUUAAUAUCCAUGUAAAGCACAUAAAAAUUAGUAAAAAACUAAUCCAUCUACUUGAACUAAAAUAUCCUAAAUUAUCCUAUUCGAAUAAGCAAAUGUACGAUCAGCCAAUUAAAUUAUUACCCUUGUUACUUUCAAGGAUCCUAGAUUUAGGUAUCACAUUUAUAGAAACUCUUAAAUCUAGUAUGAUAUUUCUAAUUUUAGAAUUUUCUAUCUUACAUAAGAUAGUAAACAUACUUGAAUCCCCGUAUUUAGGCAGUAGUUUUCUUUAUAAAAUCAUUGAGACAUUCUCAUCUACUAUGAUUUCUCAGCCCCUCUCAAUUUUUUCUUGUUGAUGCACAAGUUCUUUAAAAAUUUAGCAUAUUUUGGGUAUUUGCUUGAUCGUAUCUAAUAAACAGAUAUUGAUUGUCACUUUUCGAAACACCUCUAAGAUCUCUUUUUCUUUAUCUUGCCUUUUUGGCUACUCCAACUUAUUUGAAUUAGUGAUGAUUAGUAUUAACUUUAAUUAAAUGAUCAGAAACUAUCUCAGGAGUUGUCUUGUUUAAUCCUUCUACUUCCAACUCCUUUUCAAUUUGAUCUUCGCUCUUAUCCUUCGGAACUGUAGGUUUUGGUCCUUCAAUUUCUUUCCUUUUUUUGAGGGUCAUGGCACUAACAUUCCUUAAAUUUACUUCAGGUUGAGAAGAAAAUCUUCCUUUCUCUUGAAACUCCAAACGAUUUAUUGCAGAUUUCAUCUGACUCAUCUGAUUUUGUAGAUUUUGUAUGCUUCGUCUUCUAUUAGAAUUGCAAGGUAUUCUACUGAAGUUACAUGGUGUUAAAAGCCAAUGCCUUGACCAUAUUCUUAAGAGAUGUUUCUGAAUUAGACGGAGAGAAUUGAGAUCUUGAUGGAUACUGUAGUUGAAACCUUUGCUGUCUAUCGGGAAAGAAAUCUUGCUGUUUAUUUUCCCCAUAAUGAAAUUUGGAUGGUACAUUCAAUACAAAUUAUACGUGUUAGAAUAAGGGUCGUACUGCCUACAGGCGUGAGCACGUUUUCAACUAUGUUCACUUGUUUUAGCAUUAUCAUCUUGUAGCAUCGGGCAUCCAUCAGUGGAAUGACUAAUAUCCUUGCAAAUUCUGCAUGUCUUGACUUACUGCAUGUUCCCCACUGCCAUCUGUCGAAUCAUAGAUUUUAAUUCAAACAAUUGCUAUUGAAUUAAUAAAACACUUAUCUCAUUCACUCGACGAGCAUGUACUUCAUCCCACAUGUCAAAUUGUUAAAAAUUUUCAAUCAUCUCUUCAAUCAAAUCUUAGGCUUCUUGAGGAGUUUUGUUCACCAAAGCACCUCCAUUUGUAUCAUCAAUGAUGUUUCUGUUUCUAUAGAGUAAGCCUUCAUAGAAGUACUGGACGAGCAACUGAUCACUAAUUUGGUGUUGCAGGCAACUAGAGUAUAGUUUCUUGAACCUCUCCAAGUAUUCGUAGAGGGAUUCUCCUAGUUGCUGAUUUAUACCACAAAUCUCCUUCCGUAGACUAGCAGUUCGAGAUGCAGAAAAAUUUUUCUAAAAUUUUCUCUUCAUGUUCGUCCAUAUGGUGAUCCUCUCCGCAGACAAGUAGUAUAACCAAUCUUUAGCAGCUCCUAUCAAAGAAAAAGGGGAGGCUCACAUCUUUAUCAGCUCUUCUAUAACAUUAGGUGAUUUUAUGCUCAAACAGACAACGGUGAACUCUCAGAGAUGUUUGUGGGGCUAUUUACCUGACAAAUCAUGAAAAUUAGGUAAGAGGUGAAUUAAUCCUGAUUUUAAUUCAAAUGUUACAUUUUCAACAAAAUUAGAAAAAGUAAUGUAUAAAAGCUGCUGAUUUAAAUUAGGAGCAGUCAACUCUCUUAAAGUUUUAUUAUUAUUAUUUGCCAUCAAAACUUCUUUCUACUCAGAAUCACGGAAAGAAUUCAAUAAACUAUCAAGUUAAGUCCUGGAGAUGUAGUAGAUGACUGCUCUUCCUUUCAUAUUCUAGUUUCUUUAUUAGUUUACAUGCAGUCUUCUCAACCUUGAGAUGAAAAUCAAAUCACCUAUAUGAAAAGAACGAGAUAUAAACUAGAAAAAUAUUAGAAAUAAAAUAAAAUAAAUUCAAAAAGAAACAAAUAAACAAUGUCAAUCCCUAACAAUGGCGCCAAAAAAUUGACAGAUAUCGAACCUGUGCAAUAAUAAAUUCCUACUCAUAAAAAUAUAUAAACGAAUAUAAUGACAAAUAGUGUCGUCUCCACAGGGAUUAGAAAAAAAUUAGUUUUCUUCCAAGUAAAAGCCAACUGGGAGAUUUUGAAAAAUUAAAAUUAAAAUAUAAAAUACUCAAAUAAAUAAAAAUAAUUAAAUAGAAGAAAAUUAAAUUUAAAUCAAGAAUAAAUAAGUUCUAACCAAAGAUAUAAUUUUGAAAAUGGUUCAUAUAAUGCUCAUUGAUGCAAUAAUUAUUUAUCUAUUUGUUAAUAAAUAGGUUAUAAAUGCCAAACACGCGAUAACAAUCUACCUUUAUUGUUUCUGUUUCAUAAUUAAGGUACGCCUGUUAACUAUUUUUCGAAUUAAAAAACAAUUCUAGGUACGCUCAUAGAAUUUAAUUUCUUGAUUGCAUUAGAAACUAGAAAAUUUUGUUCUAAUUAAUAAAUGCACUACCAGAGUUUAUUUAAAUUAGAUCAUAUGUUCCCUAACAUGAAAACCAAUCAUGGUAGUCGUCACUAAUUUAAGACAAUUAAAUAAUUACGGAUUUAACUAUCUUAAUUGACAAUAGUUUGUUUAAGUUGAAUUAAAUAUCGGACGUCCUUGAUAUUCAAACAACAAAAUAAUCAUGAAAAUCAAAUCAAAAACUUAUGAAUACUAACGAAUAAAAAAAAAAACAAUUAGAUCUCACAAUUAUAAAUAAAUCAAAUCCUUCGUCAUCUCUUGACUAGAAAAGAAAAUUAAUUGUUCAUCGCGUGAAAAAUCUCCAACGCAAAAGUAUAAAAGAGCAAAAGACCUGCGGUUUAGAGACAGAACAAGAGUCAUCAUUUUUAUGCUUUUCUAAGUAAUAGUCACGACCCUCCUCGAAUUAUUUUUUUCAAAAGUACUAAUCAAGCGAGAAAACCAGCAGCCUCCGUUUUCUUCUCCUAGUGCCGAGACUAGUCAAAUCUUCAAACAAAAACAAAACUCCUAAGUAAAAGGGCACUCUUCUUUCUUUUUGAUUUUCGUCUUUGCUUUCCUAAUUACUACUAAAAACUAAAGAAGUUCCCAUAGAACAAAAAACUACGUCGUUUCCUAAUAUCAAUUGGGACAUGCUUCUUACGUCUUCAACUUGAAUUGGGAACUGCCACGCACAUAAAUCUCGACUCCUUCGGAUUUGGGGCUAACUUAGGCGUGCCCCACGGAAUGGCUAAGAAUCUUCAUUAAUCCAUUUUUAGUUUUUACUCCUUUUUCUUGCAAUAUUCCGGAAAUUACCACGCGUUGUCAAAUAUAAGUAGAAUCCAUCCAACAAUACAAUAUUUGACCAAAAUCAAGGAAAGAUAUUUAUAAAUUUAAUAGCAAUUACACACUGUCACAUCUUCCAUUCUCAAUCUCUUGAUAUCCCUCAUGGAUACUACUUUGACCACAAGAGGGUUGCUACAAUUCUAAGGCCCUGUUUGAUAAUCCAAUGUAGCACUUAAAUUUAAUGGAUUCAAAUAUUAAUAUAUUCAAAUCGUUUGAUAAUAAAAAAUUGAACAUAUGAAUUAAUUAAGUGACACUGAAUUUUCUAGGCAAAACUUGGUUUCAAAAUUAAGUGAUAAACUAUUCACUUAUCGCUGAAUAUAAUAUACACUCAAAUGUAUUAUAUUUAAUACGUCAUAAUUCAAUAAUUUAAUAAUUUUAGAUUUUAGAUUUCAAAUUUCAGACUUCAGUUUUAUUAUCAAACGCACCCUAAGUAUGACCAAACGAAAAUUGACCUAAUUAUUGUAAGAAAAUUGACCUCUUGACAAGAAGGAGGCAUGCAAGUAAUUUCAAUAUGAUUGCGAAAGAAGUAAAGGGGUGAACGAGAAACCAGACAAGCAAAGAUCAUCCAAUGCCCGACAAAAUGUCUCAGCUGACCUUUUACCAAAGCCAGAUUCAUUUUGAGGAAAAUUUCAAAUAUGGACCACCACCACAAGUCCUAGUACAGGGGUUACCUUUAAUAAGAUAUUGUCAAUUUAAAAAAGAGCUAUAAAUGCAACAUAUUUAUCUUUCCAACUGUGAAUAAAUAACAUUACCCCCUCACAUCUUCGACAAACCAUGUGAACACUUGGCUGACUUUGAACAGCUAUCCAAUGGUAUUAGAAUUCAGUGUCAAGAACUAGGACUACUGCCACUUUUGUCAUGAGACCCUCCAGUCCCCAAUGGGGGCCUAAUGAUAUUUUUGUCCUUGUCGUUCCUUGGAGUCGACUCAUUAAAUGUUUUCUUUCUUUUAUUUUGGCCUGUAUGUUGGUAGCCUGACAGGGCCUGCUGGUUUUAGUGAGCACUGCCCUUGCACAAGCUCCUCUUUUUAUCGUGCAAGGUCUAACAAUUCUUUUUUCUAGAAAAGAAAAAGAAAGAGAAAGCUUAUCUGAUCCCCGAGAAAAAGGCAGAUCUGCUUUGUCAAUUCUCAUAAGAUCAGAAGGAUUAAGAUUCUUAGGAAUGUCAUUCCUCAUUAGAAGGACUUUUUAAGGCACAAACCAGAUCAAGAAAGCUUUCAACUGCAGUUUAUGAUACCGUUUAAACAUUUUUUUUUAUCACAACCACUCGUUCCCCGAAACAUUUCAGCAAUAUUUCUUUGAAUUAUGCUGGAAUCUUCGUUUCUCUGCAGUAAACAGCAUAUCGAUAUAAUAUCAACAGUAAUUCUCUAGUGCUAUAGAAUGCGCAUCAAUCUUCUACAAUUAACUCACAAGGAGGUCCACUGGUGGAAGGUGAAAUGCAGUUGACAUGCGACAACCGGCAUAGAAUCAUAGACUACACAAAGGACUGCAUCAUCAGCAAGAAAACUUCAAGUUUCUCAUUGGAUCAGGAUGCACGAGGGUUAACGUUCAUAUCCAAAACAACAGGCCGGGAAGAAGAAACUUAUAUCAUGGCCAACUAACUUAAUUAUGUUACAUCAAAAUUGGGACGAGAGAUUAGUACAUCCACACAUUCCAUCAAACCUUGCUUUGAAAGGGACGGAAGACAGCUUAUUCAUCUCCCAUGGCUAGCUCCAAGGCAUAGUCAUCCCUUUCCUGCAGCAAGAAAAGCAAGGUGGUUAGUCCUCAACUUUAAUGUUCUUUUUCUUUGUUCCCAACAAAUGACAUCUCUUUGCAAUUGAUCUACAGGAUGCAUAAGAGAACUUACGACAGGUCCUCGGGCAAAAUAUCUUCCGAAUUGAAGCCAGUACACCUACACAGAAUAGCAUUAUUAGUUCCACAUUAGGAAUUAGAUGAGCUAAAGAGCAUUUGACAAAUUUGUUGAGCAAGAACUUCAGCCACAAAUGAGACUGGGUUCUGAUAUAACAACCCCCCACACCAUUUUUCUUUUCCUGAUUGUUUUUUUUUUUCUGAAUCAAAACUCCACUUGAUCUAUUUAUCUUUGUCAAACUUGCUAAGAGAGAAUAACCACACUGAGCAUAAAUACCACUACAUGAAAACAUUCUUUUUAAAAAAAUCUAAUUUGACUGCGGAAAAUUGGGGCCAAUUCUUGUGUCAGUGGAUAGCAGAAUGCUGGUUAUGCUUUUCAAGAAGAACAUAACUUCGUACCAACUAAAAAAAAACUGUUUGUGCACAAUGUCAAUCACUUACAGACAACAAAUCCAGUUAAGAGGGCGCAACACAGAGAGAGAGAGAGAUAGAGAGAUUCCAGAAUGAAGUUUGACUCCCAAAAGCUAAAAUUCAAGUCAAAAUGAUCCUAGGAGAGUUUGACACUGAACACCAAGCAACAAAUUACUCCUAAAGAAACAAUUCUCCCUCAACAUUUGAAGCCUUCCUGCAUCAGUAAUUAAUGCUCUUAAGCUUUUCAGAAACAAUUCUUUGAUUUAUGCACUACCUUAAAGAAUCAUAGAUAGAUUCAAUGACCUAGUAAUCUACAUUACCUCAUCCUCAUCUUGUGUUUCAACUUCAAGGUCAGAUGAUGGAAACCCACACAAAGAAGUGCAUAACCCUGCACACAAAGAAUUUAACAUCAAUGCAAGAAUUGGUGAAAUCAUUAUCUAUAGUUCUAUGAAUGUGUGAUAGCGCUUUGACGUCAAAUAAGGACUGACUUGGUUUGAAGCAAAAAGAGAUGAAGCACUAAUUAGUUUGAAAAAAUACAUAUCUUUGGAAACCUUUGAAGCGAAUGAAGCACUAAUUUACAAUCUGGACAGAAGGAAUAUCUUGUAAGGAUCAAAUUACCUUAGAUUUCAGUUCCGCUGAUAUCCCGAGGGCCUCUGGUUGUCUAAGUUGCCCAGAUUUUACGCGAACAGCACAGCUAGUACAACAACCUGCCAGACAAUGAGUUUUUACAAUUAUAUGAAAUGAAAAAGAGAUGCCUUAAUGUGUCUCAAAGUUCUACAAUUUAUUGGGUUUAAUUCAUGGAUUAAUCUUCUAUACAUUGACAGUGUAUACACUUUCACCAUUGGAUGCACAUGACACAUAAUCUGAAUUUGAAUUUCAAAUCUAAAUUUUGCAUACACAUCAUGCAUCCAACCAUGAUAGUGUAUACACUGUCAAUAUAUAUAAGAUUGUCUCUUAAUUCAUGCCAAAACACACCAAAACAAUAAUAUAAAAAUCAGACAUGCAGGCACAAAAUCGCAUACAAAAUCAAAAAGCAAACCCCACAUAUGCAAAGAGUCUAAUACCAAAUCAAGAUAGGGACAACAGAAGCCCCACAUAGUUUAGUUAUAUUUGUGGAACUGGGGGACUGAUCAGCCAGAAUUCACACGUAUAGGAUAUAGCCAUCAUAUUGGCCUUCAAUUUUCAUUUCUAUGCAUCAUCUCAUUCCCCGGAACCACAUAGUAACAACACAAAGUAAAUCUUUUCAACGCCAGACAAGAGGAACUAAUUCCAACCUUUUCAGCAUAAAAUUUCAAAUAUGUUAAAUCAUAAUUUAUGCGAGUGAAACAAACAAUUUUGCACCCCUACCCUGCAAAAGAAAAAAGAAAAUCAUACAGAUAAUGAGUGCAGUGUAGGUGGACACAAAAAAUGGAGAAUGAAGAGAAUGAUCAGCCAGAAUUCACAAUAAAAUGCCAUCAUAUCGGCUAUCAAACCGAUAAAAAAAUGAUAACCAUCAUCUCAUUCUCUUAACUCCAUCCACAAUAUUAAUGUAUCUUACAUAAGCUCAAUUAAGCUCGAUUGAGCCCAACUUGAGUUGAAAAAAGAAUCAAACUCAAGUUCAAGAAAAGAUUGUAUUCAAGAUCAAGUAACAUCACUCAAAUCAAGAUCACACAAGUCGAGCUAGAUAUUAUCAUAUACUUUAAGCACUGAGCUCGAGCUUAUCUUCAGAUAUUUGUUCAAGCUCAAGCUCAAAUUAAAGCACAUAAAUUUUGUGUCGACCUUGAUUAGGCUUGAAUACACCCCUAAUUAGUUAUUUAAUAAUCAUUAACUAAAAGUAUUAGUAAUCAAAAAAUAAAUAUAUACCGUGCCUGCAAGCAAAUGGAAGACUUAUAUUCUGCGAUUCAGCCGUAUGCAAUAUAUACUGCGUCCUGCUCAAAAUCCAUAGUACUACUAUAAAUAAGUAAAUUGAACAAAUAACUCAUAUAACUAAACUCAAAAGGGGAGAAAAAAAAAAGAGAAAGAGAACAAACACGCUAGAAUGCGUGAGAUAAUGUACCUCGGGGACGAAGAAUUCGUGAACGAUAUCACGUUGGCGGUCAUGAACGGUGACCUUGUGGGACGGGACUGACAGGGAGCAACUGCUGCUACCGUUUUGGCCGGUGACCGAAGCAGGUGGCGUGCGGAGCUCCGACGUCGUUUUGCUGCUGCAUCGGUGUUUGGGGUAAUUUAGGUGAGGUGCGGUGUGAAGUCGGUGGCGGUGGAUAGGCGGUAGCCGGGGAAAGAGAGAAGAAGAGAUGGCGACAUGUUUUGUUAUCUGCCUCUUUUCCUGUCCACUCGAAUUAACGGAAAAACGGGACGUUAUAACUCGGUUACGUCGACUGACUUACAGUAACGCUUGGGAGAAUAUUUAUGUUGGAGAACUACCAAAGGGAAAAAAUUAAAAUUGAGUCCUCAUUACAUCAAUUAAAGAUAUAUAUAUAUAUUUUUUAGAUGUUUCGCAGGGAGUGGACCCUGCAGAUUAUUCCCUACCCUCCACAACUUGCUGGCAAUAAAGUUCGAAUCAGGGACUUAAGGCUCCAUCUUCAACAAGAGACUUAAGACUACAUCUUCAACAAUCUCAACCGCCAGACCAAACUCCGGAGGGUAUCAAUUAAAGAUAUUAUCCUAUAUAGAGGCAAAAAAAUGUAUAUAACUCUUUGGGGGCUUUUUAACCUUUUCUAAGUGCACUUUUCUUUCAAACAAAACAAGCAAAAACUUUUCUAAGUGCACUUAAUCAAAUUUUAAUAAUAUAAAAAUAAGGUAAAGAAAAGAUAUGGGAAUCGUUACAACUUACCACCCAAAUCCUAGACACUUGUUUUGAACAAGAAAGAACAAUUAGCUCAUGACAGCCUAUUUACCUUAAAAUUGGUUACAAUAAUUAGAUAAUAGAUUAUUGUUUGCAAAAAUUUAUGUACCUUGGUCUAUAGCCCGAUAAGCAGAUGUAUACCGAUUAAGUUGCACUUAAUACUAAUCAUGUGGUGAUACAAAUAAUAGUAGUGUCAUUUUGAUUUUCUUACAUUAUCAUACAUCACCUACUUUUGCUUGUCUUACAGCAACAUAUAUCAUCAUACAUAACUUUAGAUCACUUUUCUUACAUCAUUAUAUAUCACCUACUAUCAUCACUUUUCUUACAUCAUGGUAUAUCCAUCUAGCAGCCACCAUCACUUUUCUCAAAGUAUAUCAUCCUACCAUGAUCUAAGCAAUACCAUAAUAUUUCUUGGUAGUCACAAUUUCAAGUUAAUCUAAGUAAAAAUGCAUGGCCCCUUUGGGUUGUUAUUUGUUAGGAGUUUUUUUGUAGCAAAAUAUAUUGCAAUAAUUUGAUGUAUGUGAGAUAGAAAAGGUGAUUGGAAAAUGUGUUCACGAAAAAUGUAAAAUUUUUUUUGGUAAAAAUCACAAUUUAAAUUAUGUUCUUGUUCCUGUAUGAGAUGAAAAAUACCUUUUACAUCAAUAGAUGAUAAAUGGACUAAUAUUUUUGGUUAAAACGGAACCUAUAUCUAUAUGUAUUGCAGAAGAGGUUUUUAUUAGAGACUCUCUCAGUUACACAUGUUUGAUAGGCCAACGACCCAGAAAAGCUCCAGCUGCAUGGAAGACACGAUGCAGCAAACGUGUCAUCCCAUGGUAGUCCAACCGCCAUUAAAGCCAUGCAAACGGUCACCCCUUCUAUAGGAUGAAGCAUCUAUAACAACAUUACUCGUUCACUUAUCCAAGAAAGAAUACACAGACACAUAGUGACGGCGAAAGAGGGAAAGAAAAAAUGCAUUCAGUCAAAGAGAAGGUUAGCAAUGCAGCAGCUGCAGCCCAAGAGAAGGUUGAGAUCAUGAUAGCCAAAGGUGAAGAGAAGGUGCUUAGGUUUUCUUAUGUUCUUAAUAUCCCAGCAUUUAUUUUAUAAAAUCAAAGACUGGACAGUAUCACUUUUGUAAUGUUUUAGGAAUCAAGUGGUAACAUAUCAAAAUUCUGGUUGGAUUUUUCAGGCGGAGAAAGCUGCAGCAAGGACAGAGGCAGAAAAGGUGAUAGCCAAGGAGGGAAGGAAAGUUAAGGAAGCUGAAGCAAAGAUGAAGCUGCACGAAACCAAAGCAGAGAACGCAGCAGAAAAGCUAAAGCAUUCUCGCCCUGUUUAUGGUCACCACGACCCAGUGGUUGGAGGAGGUCAAGGGCAUCAUGCCCCUGUUGGGACUGCAGCCAACCCAACAACUGUGGUUCCAACUGCUGCUUACCCUGCGGGGAGCCAUCCUCCCGGCCACCAUCAUACCAAACACGUCUAGCGUUUCCACAGUCAGUGUAUGUAUGGGUGCUUGUCCAGCUGCUUUCUGCCUGUAAUUGACUGCAAGUUUAUGUUCGUUUAAAUUCCGGAUUGGAGUAGGCAAGUUUCCUUGUACAAUUUAGAAAUCAACAAGCAAGAAGCGCCGGUCUAGUGUACUUCCAGAAUAAUUGGAAUCUGAUGGGGAUUACUCAUUGAUACAGUGUUAUUACACAAUUCUGACAAAUCUCUCUUUCAUAUUCUAGGCAAAACCACAGAAUAAAGCACCGUCUUCAACAUAUAUAAUUUGUGAGAGAGAGUUCAUGAAUGACAGAAUGAUUGUAUACAUUAACAUUCAAAAAGCACCAAUUUCGAGUUCCUCAAGUUAAUUUUACAAUUUGUUAAUAAUAACAAGAAAAAGAACACGAAAGUUCAUGUUCUAGGAGUCCAGUAAACACGCUAGAUGGACUAACCAAUGACCAAUUUGUGAUCUAGUAAAUCCCGGCAGGGGAACCACCUCAAAGAAGAUCAAUUACACCCACUCCAGCCUACCUUGGUAUUCCACACCAAAUUGAAUUGUACCGUUGAGACAUCUUGCUUGGUUGCUCAGCUUCACCGGCCUGGUGCUGUAUUUGGCUUGAAACCUCGGCAAUGACUUGUGAUGCUCUUUAUCUAUUGCAUAUUUCUCUGGGGGAAUCUCAUCAAGGAACUCAUCUGCAACAUCACCAUCUUCAUCCAUCCUAAGACGCUUGGCAUACCAUCUAAAUCCCUGAAACGUUAAAACAAGGAUCGUUUAAUACAGACUUUUGUUUAUCAUGAAAGAAUAGUUAGCUAAACUUCAGAAUUUGCACGAGUGAAGCAGAAUACACAGAGACUAAAUGUCUCGGCUAAGACCAAAACUACUAUGCCCCCAUAGAUCUUCCCUAAGCUGCCCAAUAAGGGCAAAGUUUGCAGGCAGCUGGUCAAAUAACCAUUAUUAAAGCACGAGUUGCCUCAUGAAACUGCUAAGUCGGCCAUCAUAUUUGUUACCACCUCUCAAUACAGCAAACUAUCCCAGAUCCAUUAAACCAACUUUAAAUUUCAAAUGAGAUAUCUUGCAAACUGCCCCACGUCAAUUCAAUGCUACAACAAAAUUAGCAUAGGAUUCAGCUUAUAUUCAUGCCAGCUCAACAUGGACUCUGAUUGAUACGAACUGUAUAGAGGAUUAAUGAGGACUCAAGACAAAGACAGAAUACCAUGAUGCCCAGUUGAAACAUGAUCCAGUAUACAUUUGACAAUGGCUACAAACAAACCUAAUCAGAUUCUUAUCAAGACAAACUGGGCAAAGUGGCAACUUCAUAAUUAAGUUUUUACUUGAGUGUUCAACAACAAAAAGUUCAGAAGUCUACAUAACCAUUAAGGUUUACCCGACCGUUGCCAGAGACUGACAAACAGACAGCAGUGGAAAUCAAAGCAUAGAAUAGAGAACCUGUAAAAGACAAACAUAGGGAUUUAGCAAGCAUCACAGACAAUAUAAAAACCAGACAGCGUUCUCGGACAACAGGAACUGAUUACAUGUUUGCGAUAUGGAUUGCGUUAGCCAUAACAGGACCCAGAAGACCAAAUUAAACAAUGUCACAAGCUUAGCAAGUGCAAAAAGGAUUUUUAACACAUACAGGAAGGGAGAAAUGUCAGGGGCUAAGCAAGCUAUAUGUCAUGAACUCUUGCUGUUUAAUCAUCAAUAAUCCAACCUUUCUCCCGUUGAGGUACUUUGGUCCCAUUUGUUAUUGAGUUUGCCCGUGUAUGCCAAAUUUUGACGGCCACAAUUACCAGAUUAUAAGGUUCUAAAUUAAUUAUACUUAUCACUCAAAUAACUAAAUUUGAAAAGGCUCAUUUUCUCUUACUGUACAAUGAAACAGGAAAUAUGGUCAACUGCACACAAUCACAUCAGAUGCAACCAAAAAAUUUUCCUUAAAAACAUUGGAUUUCACUUAGGAAGCGAGUAGAAGACUGGGGAGGAAAAAAGAAAACAAGCAAAAGCAAAUUUAAAGACAACAUAAAGGAAUUCUUACAAGUUGACGACACUGUUACAAAUUAUGGAAAUACAGAUGAUGAAGAAUUAAGACAGAGAAAGACUUUUCUGAAUUAUAGAAGAAUGAAUUUCCUAGAUGUAGUAAUUGCACAUGAACAACCUAUGUUUCUGGCUGACAUAAGUCGAGUACACCACUCAGUUUGCAUUACACCAGGAUCGUGCAAUAUCAGUGGCAUGCUAAGCUACAAUUAACAUGCUUAAAAAGAAGUGUCUUAGCUUGUUCAUCAGCAUGCCAGCAUCAUAAAAAAUUAUUCCUUCCAUUAAUGACAUAAACAUUUAAAAAAAAAAUGCUUCUUUACACUGAUUUUUUAAAAUUGAGCUCCAGAAAUAUCUAGCGCAGCAUGAAAAAUCAAAACUUUUCUCCCUUGUGAUGAACCAUUUGUUCUUUCUUUACUUCUAACAAUUGGCAUGUACACUCAUAUUGCCAACAGCACGAUGCAUUACCACUUAUCGAUGUACCUAGGCUUACAAUUACAACUAUGCAACCUGACACCAGCUGAGUAACAUCGGAGAGUUCAAGCUUGCCACGGUCCUUAAAUAGGAGAUAAGCUAACAGAAAAUGAUCUAGUUGACAGAAUAUGAGUUCUGCUCAUCGUGAUACACUCCUCCAGAAAUCGUCAAUUUCCAUCAACAUAAGCUAACAGCUACGGAUUCAACUGCUGCCCACUUCCCUAUAGCUCACAAGUCACAACCUUUAUAUUAAACUACUUGCCUCAAUCAGAACAAGAUAUCUGCUUACUAUUCCGCACUUAUCAUUACCCCAAAAUCAAUACGUUGACCAUCCAUUCACUAAAACAUGUAAAUCAAUCACAAUUAUUCCACAAUAAUCGCAUACUUUUAUCUGAGCACUGCUCACUACAACACAGACUAAAAAUCGUUCAAAACCAUGAUCAACAGCAAUAAACUCAUAAUUCGAGUAUUAAAUCCAUGCUAGUUCAACUAAAUUUUGCAACUUUAAACGCUCAGUAUCGCUAAUUUCACAUAUUACAACACAACUCGUCAAUAAUUUCAAUCAAAAUUGGAAUAAAAGUAAAAUUUGGUGAAAGAUUUUAACCUGAACGCCGCCAUUGCCGGAGGAGCAGGGGACGAGAACAGGACCGGAUAGAGGUCUAUCGACGGCGACUUGGACGGGGACACUGAAGCCUUUACGUUGGGGAUGCUGAGCGGCUGCGGAAGUGGAGACGGCGUCGUUCUCAUCCUCUUCUUUCAAUUCUUCUGCUUCAUCUUUGGCGAUCCCUAAAAACCCAGCUAGUCUUCUGAAUAAACCCAUCGGCCCUUGCUUGUGUAUAAUUUUAUCAUGCGGGAAGAUAAGAGUUCCUAUACGAAUGGGUUAGACGGAUGGAGAGAGAAUACGGGUGCGCCGGCGGCGAAGGAGCGAAGUGGAAUUUUGGUGAAAGCAAGAAGGGCAGUUCGGGAAUAUUUUCCUGGGAAUGACGACGAUGUCGAGAGCUACAAGGACGAGGAAAGACUUUAGACAGGGAGAGAAAUAAGAGAGACUCGGCCAAUUGGAUUGCUCGAGUUUGAGCUUUGAAGGCCCAAUAGAAUAAAGUACUCUCUUUUUUUCUUUUUUCUUUUUUUUUUGUUGUGUUUAUUUAUGUCUACAGUCUAUAUGCAUUCGGAAUUGCAUCUCUCAAUUUUUUUUCAAUGUCCAAAUGGACUUGCAAAUCUCCAUUGGGAUUGGAUUUCCUUCUUUUAAUAUAAAAUUUGGUAGAAUUUUGACUUAAUUAUGUGAAAAUACAUGACUCUUGAACAAUUUUACUACUCAUUAAUCAAAGUGUGAGCAUGUUUGUUUGGAUUGAGGCUUAUUUGCCAAAAUUUAUUUGCUUACAUCAUCAUUACAAUUUUCAACACAUCUUUUUAUCUUUCCAAUUAUCUUUUUAUCUCACAUACAUCACAUCACAAAAAGUGCUACAAUAAAAAUAUCUCAAAUAAUUUACAAUCCAAACAGAGCCACGUGCAAACCGCUACCAUAUAUAGAGCCAAUAGACAUAUUUCGCACAAAUGUCAUCACUUGUUUCCUGAAAGUGAGAAUUUUGAUUCUUGUUCACCAUACGCUAUUCAGGAUUUGUUUGGAUUGUAAAUUAUUUGGGAUAUUUUUACUGUAACACUUUUUGUGAUGUGAUGUAUGUGAGAUAAAAGGGUAAUCAAAAAGAUAAAAAGGUGUAUUAAAAAUUGUAAUGAUGAUGUAAGCAAAUAAAAUUGGAGAAAUAAUGCUCAAUCCAAAGAUUUGGUGGAAAAGAUUCUGAUAAGAUUCAGAAGUAGCAUUUGUGCACUUGUAAAAUAUUAUAUUUGAAGAAUCGAUAAAGGGAAAUUAGUGAACAAAGAGUAAUUAAGUUCCUUUUACUUGAGGAAGGAUUGAAUUAGAUGGUCACGUAAAGAAAAUCGUAAUAAGAAGUCAUAAAUUCCUGGUCCGCGCUACGCGAGCAUUCUGCAAACCUGCUCGUGCAGGGAUGAUUUCUAAAAUUGCACAUCCCGACGAGAAAAGGGAAAUUAUCAAGACCUGACACGUACAUUUACAUGCAUUCAUACUUGCAAACAAGAAUUUGACUGAGCACUAUUUUCCAAACAAGCGUAACCUUGACGAGCACCAUCACAAACACACAGCUAGUUCAACGUAGCAUUGGAGGAACAUCCCCGAGAACUUGGGUCAUUUAUCAGAUUCAAUGAACUCAUUUUGAACAAUAAAUUGAUAACACAUGCAGAACUAACAAUCAUUGUGUCAGGAAAAAUGGCAUCUGAUCUAUGUAUAUAAAUGACUUACAAAUUACAUGCUGCUUCAGAGUCAAAACUCUUCCAUCUCUCUCUCUCUCUCUCUUUACGCGAAAAGUAUCUCUCAAAUUAUACACGACACAAACAUGAGACUGAAGCGUGUGGGGAGAACGGAUCCAUCAGUAGCAUCUUAUGCAAAUCUUCCAAUUCUGAAAGCCAUGCUUGUCUGAAUAAUUUUCCCCACGGUACAACAAGCCUGUAGAAAACAUUCCACACCAGCACCCACAGGUCCUGUGGUUCCUAACAUCUAAUCUCAUAUGAACCGGCCUUUGUAAUGUAACGGACCCACUCAACUGUAUUGUACCCACUCUUCUCCCAUACCUGCAGAAAUGCAGUAGUAGUUAAGAGCCAUUUCUAUUAUAAAGAAAGCACUCAGCCACCAGCCAAUGAAAAUACCUUCAGAAAACGCACACGCAAUCCAGAUGCUGUAAACAUAGGAACCUGCAAAACAAAAAUAGGUCCAUAUCAAUCUUUGUUUUACAUUUGCUUGUAGUCAAUCAAUCUUUCUCAAAACAAAAUCAGCGCUCAACUAAGAGGAGAAAGAGGGCCCUAAAUACUCGAAAUUAAUGUACACGUUUACUUUAAUUAUACCAAGUACCAAAGUGAGACUAAGCUGUUUAUAUCAUCUCCCAUGUUCUUUCCUUUGCUGUGAACAAUUCAUCAAUGUAACAUGAGUGAGAACAGAAGAUACCAGGAACAACAAAUAAAGGGCACAUUGCAGUUUUAAUCCCCUAAAUUUUGGACUAAUUCCACUUCAGUCUCUUACAGUUUGAAUACAUUUCAUCCUUCUCUUUUGUACCAGUCUCAUUUCAGGUCCAUGAGAUUUAACUUUGACAUAUUUGCUUCUUUUUUUACUUUAGUACAUUGUUAAUCAUCCUCAAAAAGCACAAUUUUAGAAGAAUAAGUAAACAAAUGUCCCAAUACUGAAACAUGAAAGCCAAAAGUAGGAUGAAAUUCAACCAAAUGUAUUGUAACUGAAACAAGAGGAACUAAAUUGAGACUGAUAUUAAUCGCAAGGGAUGAAGUCUAACAUUUAGUUGCCCAAAAAUAAAGAGAUGCUAAUUUUGCAUUGCUCAGCACCUAGUACUGUGAUCUGGGACCAGAAAACUACCUAUCUAAACUUUUGUUAAGUAAUUUGCCUACAUUCAUGACACCUAGCAUUCAAACUUGGAGAAAAAUUAUAUCAUGCCUCAGAAAAGGAAGAAAAGUUCGUUUUGCAAUCCCUACUCUUGCCAGCCUAGCUGAUGAAAAAAAACCUUUUGUGGACCUGUUAUCUUAAUCAUAAAGCUGUGACACUGGGAACAUAACAUGAUAGACAAUUGAAGAAAAGGCUUGUAAACAUAGAAAUUGGUAAGAUACCUGAAACUCCAUCUGAAUUGGUGGCCUAGUCCAAGACUUCUUUUCUGCCAUUGUGGAAAUCAACUCCACUUCGGCACUUAGUGUUGGUUCAGUUUGUCCAGGAAAUUUUCUAAUCCUGCAAGAUACAAAAAGAAAAGGAAACUUAUGUUACUGUAGACCACCAGCCACCAUUGAGGAUUAAGGAAUACCUAGAACAGGAUAAAUAGUAGUUUAGCAUAAAAAUGUGGUCUAAAAGGUAUGCAACUAAAAAUCAUAGGCUGUCUUCAACAAACUAACGAACAUUAUGUACCAUGACCAAUAGACAAAAAUCUUGAGUCCACUACAUCCCGACAGUCUGCUGCCAUAUAGCUACCAGGUAUCAACGGUGUUUUUAAUCUCUCAAAGAAGUUAAGCUCUCCACAGAAUAUAAAUACACUUGUACGAUGAGCUUUACAAUUAUCACAAAAAAAUAUUAUCUUAAUUUUAUAAGCUGACGUGUCUUAAAAUGUUACUGUAGCAUCUGCUUUAAAUACUAAACAGCGGCACUUCAAUAAAAUGUAUUCUAGGCACCAAGGAGAAUCAAAUUCAAGCCCAACAGAAAUGAUGUGCAAAAUCUGGAGAAGAAAAAAAGCCAACCAAUGAAUGUACAUGAAGAACAAUUUCAGCAACGUAUAUAAGCAAUAUAAAAGGUACUUGCAAGAGGAUGUUAUUCUACAGUAGCACUCCUUUGCAUAUACUUGUCUUGAUCAGACAGAAUUGUGGUAUACAUUUAUUGAGAAGGAUAGCUCCAUUAUAGUUAAGAGUAAUUACAUACAGAUGCAAGACAUAGAAUAUUGCAUCAAAUACUCACUUCCAGACCAAACAGUCAAUAGAUGCAUUGUAUUUCGCUCGACCGGAUGUAACUUGGAAGCUCGUUUUUGCUGUUUGUUUUGGUACUGGAAUCUUAACGACAACGCCAAGUGCAAACAUUUUUGCACCAAAAACACUCUUAACCUGGAUGCAAAUAUACAAACUGAGCAAAUGAUAACAGCAAGUAGAUUGCAUAUAUCCAAAAAAUAAGACGACAAACCUUAACAUUCACUUCCAUGCGUGUACGGCCAAGUUCCUUGAUAGUUGGCAAUACCCGGAAAGGGAGAUUCACACCCUCAGUGAUACGGUACCUGAAAUCAAAGUACAUGCGUGUCUAAUCAAGAAUGAACUAAACAGAGCCAUGUACGUGGGAAAACAAAAUAAACUAAACCAACAAGCCUCAUAAUUAGAGAAAUGAAGAUUACAUAAAAUGGACUCGUAUAAAAUUAAGUACGUUGUCAGAAACAGAAUACACAAACUGCUAACUUAUAUCAGAUGCUCAUGACUACAACAUCCUUUGGCUGAUGUAAAAAUGAGGUAAGAAACUAUUCAGAAUAACCCCACCCACUCAACUAUCCCACCACAUGCACCCCCAAAAAAACUUGAGAAAAGGAAAAAGGAAAAAUAAAUCUUAAAAAAAACUGUCAUCCAAGAAUUCAAUUUGAAUACACUAGAAAAUUUGACCAGCUCUCCUACAUACUCAAAUGAGAAGAAAUUUUUAUUUGUCAUCAAAUCUUGGUAUCAAUUGAUACCUAAAUAGUACAACUCCCCAGAGUGUGAAAAGCAGAAACCAGACCGUAAAAUUUUAGCAUUCUAAAAUAAAAGAUCCUCCAAGGAGAUGCAUUUUGCUCAGAAGGAAAAGUACAACCAAGCAAUUUUUCAAUAGGCUUAGGUAUUAUAAAAUAUUUGCAACCAAAUGUAUUCUGCAUCUAAUGUUCAUGUAUUCUCUGUAUGCAAUUGGCAAGCAAUAGACUCAAAAAAAACCAUCAAGUAGCCUACAGUUUGAUCUGUAGCAAUUGCCGUAUGUUGUUUUUUAAUGCGAAGAUGAACACACAUAAAUGUAAAAAGGACAACAGACACAGUCAUUUUGGAUGUUACAUUACUGCUUACAGCCACUAUCAGAGCCCAGCAUCAGAAAGUAAAAGCAUGUGAAAAAAAUUCUUCUGACAAUCAUCCAAGGGGAAAAAAAAAAAAAGAGAAACGGGAAACCUAGCAUAGUUUGCUGAGGGACUACAAGCUUACUUCAUCAAUUCAAAUUCACCAUCAGGAGGAACAAAGCUGACCGUUUUCUCUGAGUUGAAUCUCGUCAAAUUUACACAUUGGUGGAAGGUAACGUCAUCAAGCUCAAUAGUUUUGCCACUGCAAAAAUUACAUACCACUCAGGCAAAAGACAUAGUAGAAAGAGGAAACCUGAUCAAGCAUGUGCUAACCAAAUUAGCUUGUAAGCAGCAAAUCUGUCAGAGUCUGAGGAAAAAAUAAGAAAAAGUAUCCAUGGCAGAAUAUAAAGUACCAAUUUGUGAACAUUACAUGUGUAGAAAAAGCUGUCCUCAGACUUUAAAACAAUAAAACAGCCCAAAGAGGAGCAAACAAUAAGGUUCUUCACCCUUUUACAGCAAGGAAAGGUUACAUGCAUCUAACCACUAUAUCCAAAAUGGCAAAGAAAUACAAAGAGGAAAAAGCCAACAUUCUAACAUUUUGUUCUUUAAAGUACAACCCAUUUUUUUAAAUAACGUAUAAGCAGCACUAAAGGCACCAAAUGGUUGCCACCCAGACCACAACGAAAAAACUGUGAAUGCAAAAAUCUAUUUGCUUGAUAAAAAAUAUUCAGCAAUUCAUAGGCAUUCACUCAAAGAACAUCAAUAAACCCGAAAUUAAUGGGUACUCCGGUUCUCAGUUGUGCUAUUUUCUUAAAAGCUCCACUUGACGCCGUCUUUCCUUCCUCUCCAAAGUGACCAAAAACUAUGGAAAGGUUCAGAAACCAAACAUGAGUCCCUACCAACCUCAGGCUCUAAUACACUCCAUCGGAACCAAAGAACUUUCUAAAUUGCCAAAGAGUUCUAUUCUUUUUUAUUCAUGUUACCACAAAAGCCAAGGGUGAAAAAUCACAAUUACCUCUUCGUAGGACGUGAUUUUAUCUGUGACUCUUUCUCCAGGCCAAUCUUAUCAUUCAAACCCAGCUUUAAAUCAGGCAUUCCAGAAAGGAAGCACUUCAUGAGAAUUUUCCCAGUUACAUCACAUCGCAAAACACUGCCUAUAAGUGUCAAGAUGAUAUAAGAAAGCAGCAUACAUGAAUAUAGAGCAAUACAUCCUUUAGGCUAAAUUGAACUUACCUUUUGAAGACAUAAGAAGAUUGACGCUUUCCACAAUAUCUAGAAACACCUAUUAACCAAAAACAGUAUAAUUAAAUAUCAACCAAUUAAGUUCAACGAACAAAGUAUCAAAGAAAAAGGAAAAAGAAAUACCUCAUUCUUCUUGUAUACAAGACCCUCUCUACGCCAGCCAACAGCACCAGUAACUUGUAAAGUUGCAUUAGGCACCGGUCUUUCUGCAGCCUGUUAUGGAAUUCAAAUAGAGAUUAGAUCAGUAUUCAUAUAAUACUUGUACACAGGGACUCUUCAAAACCAGUACACCAUGAACAUUCCCAAAUAUUUCCAAAGAACAAGCAAACAUCUAACCUUAGAUGAAAAUGGUGAGCGUACACCUUCUUGUGUGAUAUAAAGCUUCAAGAUUUCCGGUGAAAGAUUUUGUGGAUAACCAAAGUCCAUUAUCUCUGCAUUGAAAUCAUAACAUCAAUCCAAUGGCCUGUAUGAAGAUACUAGAAUUCUGAAUGAAAUGCAUACAAAAAUCUACAAAUAGAUACGUGUCAACAAUGCAGCUCUAACCACGCAAAUAAGUAAUCUCAUCCACACAAAAGAAUGCAAUUCACACCCCACAAGAUAUACAAAUUGACAGAAGAAAUCCGCCAAAGAUUAAAACAAGGUAAGGCACUAAAAACAAGCUUUUGGUACUCAUCCUGAGUCUUAACAAGCAGAUUGUUUGGCACACUGAUAACAACAAUAUACAGAUCAAUGAUAGAGGAAAUACAGAUUUACAAGUGAAUAUCUAAAAGGUACUGAUCAAAGAUGUCCAAGGUAUUCUUGGAAGGUAAGGAGUGUACCAUCCAACAGCUCAUAGAUUAAAACAAAAUUAUUCCGAAUAGCAUCUUCAUCAAAAGCCCCGCCAAAAUAGGAUUUGAAUAAAUUUACUGCCUGUGGGAAAAAAAUAAAAGUUGAAAACCGGGUUAGAUCAGUUAAAGAAAUUAGCUGCUCUUAAAAAUAUAACAAAUUUUACUUGUCAAGCCAAUAUGAAAUGCAGACUGCACAAAAGGCAUGGGUUCUGUUGUACAAAUAAAUCAAUAGAUGAAUACAUACUUUUUUUAAACUACCAACAUGAAAGAACUGAACUGAACCAGAGAUGAAGGCAGUUAUCAAAGAAUAUCAAACUAACUAUAGGUGAUAAAGCAGAGACAACACAUGGGGCUGAUGCAGCCAUAAAGAAAUUAAGCAAAGAUAAAUUUCGAGAAUAUUGGACGUUUUACUUCAAACAUAAAGCAUUACUUCAUUAGUUUAAUCCAUAUAAAACGUGGGCAACCGAAAUGUAGUAGUAUCCAGUGUAGGAAAAUCACUCCGAUCUCCUCAUGUUUUAUAUUCUAAAUUAUAUAAAGUAAUGGUAGUAUCAUAAUUCCAAGAAUUUCUGGAGUUUCCACAAAACAGGAAAAGGGUUACUAUCCAGAGUCAAAGUUAUGUCAUAAAUUAUUUAUUGUAUGUCUUCUGUUUCUCAAUGUCCAUUUUACCCCUUAUAUUGCAACUUUUCUCGUUAGUAAUUAAAUUAUAAGCUUACCCAAGAAAUCAUACUUAUCUUGCAUUAUGCUACACUAUUUUAACUUAAUAGGUGCUGACCAGUUCAACCCUUGAAAAAAUUCCUGGAAUGGUAUCCUCCUCUUACCUACUGUGAGAAAAUGCACAACAAUUCCAAGUGAGCUACAAUUUACAUGGAUGAAACUAAAUCACCAUUCACAUUACUGUUUGGACAACAAUCCUCCAACCUUUUCAGUUUCGAAAACUUUAUCUCCUUAAGUUUUACCCCAUCCAUUGUUCAAGUAGAAUCCCUUCCAAGUUCAUAGUUCUCAUCCAAUUUCACAACAAGCCUUCGCAAGACAGACCAUGUGCCAUCACCCUCAAAGCUUUGCAGCCUCAAGGAUAUAAGUUAUACAUUGACCCCAGAACUUAAUAGUAGUACCCUCGUCCCAACAUCUAGUAAUUUAUCCCAAGCAAGAACAUUAACACCUUGACAACUUUAGCUAAACGUCUAUUUAAACACUUUUCAAGCUUACCAUGUUUAUUGAGGUUUUGUCAUUUUGUUUUAUACAUAUACACCUCAAUACCUACACAAACUCUGUUCAAGCAUCGGCAGUGAUGUCAUUUGAAUGAAGGGAGUGGUAAGGAAACCAUAUUACCCUACUAACACCAAUUCGACAAGCAAGCAAGACAUAUAGCUUAGUAAUUAUAACAAACUUCAGCUGUAAAAGCUACGUCACAACUUAUAAAAAAAAUAAAAAAAAAAACUUCCACACACUUCUUAAGUGUAUGAAUUAGGUAGCAGCUGAGUACCUCAACAACGAACUUAAAUGCACAAGCAACAUUGGCAUUGCUGCUCACAACAAUCACAAUGUAGACGUUACUGAUUCUCAUGUAAAAGAAAGAGCAUCCUCCAAUCUGGCGCACUGGGCAUGUUCCGAGCUCUUUUGUUUGCAUUAUAUGCAUUCGAAAGGCAUCAACCAUAUUGCCCCUGAUAAGAAUGAAAAAGAGCAUGUGAGCUAAACUUGUUUGCAAGGUCACGUGAUAACAGAACUUCUUGCAAUAAGAUAAAGACAGAACUAAAAAUUCAUAAAAUAAUAGCAACAAUAAUAACUGCCAGACCAGCCAGAAAAGAACUGCACAAAUGGGGCUUGGAACUGGAAAAUAAAAUGGUUUUAGAAGUUCAAUCCUUCAAUUGGUCAACUUGAAAGUGAGCCAGUUGUUAACUAAUAUAUUAACUUGUAUUCCUAAUGAGGGAAAAAUUGUAUAUUUCCUAAUCAAGUUGUUAAAUAAUAUAUUAACUUGUUUUCCUAAUGAAGAAAAAAUUGUAUAUUCCCUAUAUGGGACAAGAAGAAAGGAUCGGCUUUAACAAUUAAACACAUAAUGAUAUUAUGCUAUUGCAGAAAUUAUGAACAUGAGAUACUUGACACAUUAUUGGGCACAUCUGCUGCACAAAGGACAAAGUUGGAAGAGUUUGAAAUGAAAAUGGAUAUGAGUUGUUUCUAACAGUAGUUGAGAACUUGUGAUAUUGAAAAAUUGAAAGAUUCUAUGUCCCUUCAAGAUAAGGGAAGUGAUAUAGAUGCCAGACUGGCUUGGCUGAAUGAGUGACAAUCUGCUUUUUCUUGCCUUCCUCUUUCAGAUGAAUUGAUUAGUGUACUCAGUCUAGUAUCGCUGCCCUUACUUUUAGUCAGAUAAGGCCCCUUUUUUCUCUUUAGUGUACAAUAUCUGCUCUUAUCCAGCGUUUGAAUUGAAAAAUUUUGUCAAACAGGCUUUGCAUGUGAUUAACUUUCAUUUCAGUAGGAAGAAAGGUACACAUAAUACUAUACCAUCAAGUACAAAGAAAAGGCUUCAUGAGGUAGAAUUACGAAAAGCCAGACUAAGAGAAAAACGAAUUGGGAGCAAAAGACUCCUAAAACAACCUAAUAUUGUUGGAAAGAGAUGUUUCUUAUCAUAUUUAGAUGUGGAAAGAGAUGUUUCUUAUCAUAUUUAGAUGUGGUGCAUCAUGUAACGCUGGCAAAUAAGCAAAGUAGUUCAAAGCUAAUCUAUUAUCUUCCUAUCUAUAUCACUGUGCCGUCAUUAACUCAAAACAAAACUAUAUGCGUUAUUACUAAAAUUUCCAAAUGUCCCACCUGAAAAGCUAAUCAGUUUCAAAACCUCUGAAACUUUUACUAGGCCCCGUAUCCUAGUACUGUAGAGUAAUUAUUUUAGCUGGUUGCCAACUGUCAAGAAUUUUUUGUCGUCUGGAUUGCAGCAAGACUUGAGCUUUUUUAAGCUUAAGAAGAGCAAAUGAAAUGAAUCCAGCAUAAAGCAAUAUCAGAUCCUAAAACCAACUCGCAGACGAAAAAUUGCAUCUAUAGAAGCCUCAUUCUGCAGAAUACCUACAAUUUUUCUGCUUCAUACUCCCCCGUUUACUCGAAAGAUGGUAAAAGAUAAAGUUAAACAAUUCAACAAUAUUUCCACUACUUUAAAGCAAAAUUAGACACUCAAAAGGAAAAAAAACGUCGCAAACAUCAAGCUACUGCUACUUCGAAGAAUCAAAUCACUCAAAUUAAAUCGCAUGAUAGGAAAAAUCAGAGGUAAUUGUAGGUCUUUUACCCGACGUCAUCGCGGUAGAGGCGAUUGAUGAGGACAUCGCCGCGAAGAUUUAAGAAAUAUAUAGCCGACGCCGCCACCGGCAUAAUUCAACUCCGAUUUCUUCCUUCCCCCAAUUAGCUGGUACUCCUAGAUCAGAUGAGAAUGAGAUCCAGGGUACUCAAUUCGACCCUCGAGGUGUCAUACAACAACCAAAAAAUUGCAUCAAUUUUAGAUGAAUGAAAAUGCAAAUGGAGAAAAUGUUGAUGCCGAAAUGGUUCAAGUAGUAAGAUCUGAAUUUGUCUGCGGAGCUGUCAAGGAAAAUUACGAUAGCAUAGAAGAAACGUUUCUCCUGGUCAAUAUCAUCAUACUUUUCCCUUCCUUUUACCAAAAAAAAUGCAUUUCCCUUCCACAGUGUGUUUAUUCCACGUGCAUUUCACAUGACUUCUCUUCAAUUCUUUUUUUUUUUUUUUUUUUGGUGUAGACUACAAAAUAAUUAUACCCAAAGUUGUAUAGUUUUUUUUUUUGGAAAAAUGGCCAAUUUAGGCCUUGUUUGAUAACCUCAUUCACCAUUUAAAUUUAAUGAAUUUAUAUCUUAACAUGUUCAGAUGCAUUUGAUAACCAAAAAAUUGAACAUCUGAAUUAAUUAAGUAGUUAUUUACUUAUCACUGAAUGUGAUAUACACUCAGAUAUAUUAGAUUUAAUAAUUUAAUAAUUUAAUGAAUUCAGAUUUCAUAUUUUAGUUUUUAAACUUUAAUUUUAUCAAAUGCACCCUUAUCUUAAAAUUUUUUUUCCAUUGAUUUCAUCCCCUUAAUAUUGUUUUUAGCCAAUUUGAUUCAUAAACUUAUACUACGGUUCCAAUCAAGAUCUCAAUGGCGGCGCCACCGCAUAAAUUCAAUCGGACUCCUAAUCGAGCAACCAAGAAGGGGUAUUUUGGGGAUUUUCGGUGUUGGGGUUGUAACAAAAAGAAGUAAAUUGAUGAAAAACCCCAAUUAUAAACCUGGGGUUUACCCCAAAAAAGGAGAUCUGCCCAAAAUUUUUCAAAUUCGUGUACAAAAAUCACUACAAUUAAAUGCAUCCGAGGAGGAAUUGGGACAAAAAUGCUUAGGGGUGUGCAUCGAAUUCAAUUUCGGUAAAUCAAAACUCUGAAUUCGGAAUCUUUGGAAAUUGGAAGUUUCGGAAUCUUUGGAUAUUAGAAGUUUCAACCGAUUUCAAUUUCGAAUUCACAAAUUUUGAUUUAGAUUUCAUUUCGGAAUUUGGUAAACUACUGAAUUCACCGAAUUCGGUAAACUUAUAAGUUGAUAACAUAAUUUGCUAAAUUAGAUGCUAAUUUUUGUUUCCAUACAACAAACUUAAUUAGACUCACUAUUAUUAUAUAAUCUAAUUAGUAGUUAGACCUUAGAGGUAUUAUUAUAUCAUAUAAAUAUUUUAUAUUACAUAGAUGUAUUAAUAGUAAUACAUAUAUAUAUAUGCAUAUGUAUAUUAUAUAUACGAAUUUGAAUUCAAAAUAGGUACUUGAUUUACCAAUUUCUAAGGAAUUUUUGAUUCGGGAAACGUAAUGUCGAAUUCAAACCUAUUUCGUACAAUUCGAAAUUAGAAUUUUUGAUUUCCUUUUCGCUUUCUGUUUUUGCCGAUUUCAAAGUUCCGAAUUGAACUCGAAAUUGGUCGUGUUUAGGGAAUUUCAAUUGGUAUUUAAUUUGAUUAUGGAUUAAACGUCCGUGUUGAAGAAAAGGGGUUAAAAAAAGAAAUGAUUGCUUCUUAUGAAUAUUCUUUUUGCUGUACUUCCAAAUUCCAUAAAGAUGAAGUUGGUGGCUCCGAAUUCCUUUUUCGAUCAGUGCAUUGCAAAGCUGCAUGAGUAAAGCUUGGAAGCAAAAUCUUAUAUGCAAAAAUCAUUUGCCGCUGUGCGAGAGUGUUUGCAUGACUUGUAAUGGGACGCCGCCACCUACACCACUAACAUGUAGUAGCAGUUUUCCCGUUUAGUUGGAUUGGCUGCCAUACUGACUGAAUCCAGUCCAGCAACAUGAUAUGAUAGACCAAUCAGUCCCCCAAACACUAACCUACCUACUCAUACUCCUUAAUCUCUUCUCUUUUCUUUUUUUUUUUUCCUUUUCUUUGUUUGCUCCCUAUAUAAUCAGUCUGAUUGUGAUAUAUAUUCUUAAUUUCAAUUGCUCUAGCCACAGCGUUCAGGAGCACUAUGAUACCGGUCACUGAGAGGAUUUCAGCGAGAAGAGGCUAUCCUGUAGAGCCUGAUAUCUCAAUGCUCCUCGACUCGGCAGCUAGACAUUUCUGUAAGAAAUUUGAAACAAAAUAGGCUUCACUUUUUUUUUUUGCUCCAGUUAGAAGAACAGACUUCUGCUAAUGCUGAUGUUUAUACAAUGCUCGCCCAAAGCUGAUGUUUCAUUCUAAAAGAUUUCAUUUAUUCAACCUCAAGUGAAAACUUGGAGCCAAAAGCACGAGAUUCAACGUCAAAAGUCCAAGAAAUGCUAGAGCCACUGCAGAGUUUGCCCUUUCUUUAAUCUUCUCCUCUGAAUUGGUCCCCCGUUUGCUUUCAAUCUCGAUAGCCUCUUGUUGCCGGAAAAUUCGAUAAACCCUUUCAAGCCUGCAACUUCAGACCCUACUACGACAAAAAUUACAAUGUUAAUGACCAACCUACAGGAUUUUCAGUUUCAUCAAUUCUUUUCUCCUCCUCCUGGCUUCUGCAGCAGUGGUUGCAUCCUCUGACAUUUUCCUGCUGUAAACCACUGGCUUUUGAUACUCUUCCGAUGCACCUUUUUCUCUUUGUCCGGCAGAAGAUGCGGCAACCUCCGCCUUGGUUAAAGUGUCAUUUCUCCUCGCAGCAGUACUUAGUCCUACAGGUAAACUAGUUGCCGGCCUGACACACCUCAAGGGUGUCGGCAUGAGAACCAUCCUAUCAGGAUAAGUUCCUCCAAUGUUACCACCACCGUCUGGGGGGUAUCCAAAUCCAGCCUGAUGGACAUCAUCAACGGAGCUAUUCACGGUUGAAUUAGAAGCUUCUGUUUUGACUUUCAAGGAUAAACAGGCUUGGUCAUCCUCUCCAUGCAGACUGUUUUUCGCGGAAGAACUUGCGGCGCACUGAUUAUUUGAAUAAGCUUGAUUUUGUCCAUCGUUUUGGGGAGAGGGCUGGCGGCGAAGAGCAUUUGUUGGGGAAUGCAGAGGAAAGAAACAAGGGAAUGGCAGUACGUAUAACAAAGCUCCUGGAUUAGCAACCAUCGCAGAUUCUCUUUGAUCAGACAAUAAUUCCGGCCUUGGCUCAUGUGUCAUGGCAAAAAGCGAUGGAUUUGCAAUAUCACAUAGAGAUCUGCUUCGAAACAGGGUAGCAUCUAGAGGUUGAACUGCUGAUGGCCAGUGAAGUGGAAGAAUAGGGGAUGGUGUAUAAGGAGAAAAUGGAGUUCUUGAACAUGCAGAUACAGAACAUCCUCCACAAUUAAAGUUUGAUUCUCCUGUGAUUUGCUCUGACUUGGGCUUCACCAUUUUGGCCAUCUGCAAAAUGGACAAAUAAAUCGAAGUUCAAAUACUACAUUUGCACAGAUUAAAAACUCCUCUCAGAAACAAAAUGCAGUACCUGUUCCAUCAAGUAAUCAUUUGUGUUUUUUAGUGAAUCAUACUCCUUCAUUGCCAGCUCCUUUUUCUUCUCAUAAAAAAAUUAUGACCCAAAAUAUAAAUAAAUAGCAAGAUAUAUUAGAGAUUUUGAGGAAGUCUCCAUCUAAGUUAAAAGCUAUACAAAAGGAUAUGCUGAAAUGACCACCCACCUUCUUCAAAUUCUCAUUCUCCAGUGUCAGAUUCGCUGCUUUUCUAGUUAACUCCUCAAAUAUAGCCUGGAAGAACAAACGAAUGGAUGACAUUGAUCGAAUUAUAGACUUUCAAAAACCAAAUUAACUGGAGAAAAAUGCAACUUUGAGAAACGGUGAUGAUAGAUAGAGAGAACAGCACAUCACAGGUAAUCUGAGGUAUAAAAUAUUCUGUGACGCCCUCAGAACAUAUCAAAGUCUUGCAUUACACUGUCCAUGCAAAAGACUUGAGUAGGAGAAUCAAUAUAAAACGUUUUUCUGGAUAAAAAGUAAUCGUACCAUUGUUGUUUCAUUUACCAGAUAUCAACUAAAUAUACAAACGAGACAGCUGAGCAGUCAAAGACGUCAAAACACUAUAUGGCAGAAUGUAGAGCCAUGUUAUUGAGCCAACUUACCUAGUAAUAAUUUUAUCAUCGAACACUUCACAGCAACUAGUUUUUACUUGAACGCAGAAGAAGAAUUGCUCGAGUCUAGUAUUUCCAAAAAUAACUUUGUUUUCAAGCUCCUAACCACAUAUAAAUAAAUGACUCUAGAAAGGGCAAAUUACACCUUUGUGUUUUAGUGGUUUUUCAUAUAAUUCCCUAUGAUUUCAAAAGUUAUACAUAACAUCCUCAUGAUUUGGAUUAAAGUGUCAAAGUGAUGGAAAUGAUCAUUCGUAACGGAGUCGCCUAAAAUGUCAAAAAUACCCUUUUAUGUAAAGUUGAAAAUUAUUUAUUAACCAAGGGGGUUAUGUAUAUAUUUUGAAAACCAUAAGGGGGUUAUCUGAUGAAACGCUCAACCAUAAGGAGAUUAUAUGGUAAAAUAUAAAAAUCAUACGGGAUUAGUGUGUCAUGCAUUUAUAAGGGUAAUUUUGAUAUUUUAAAAAGCACUGCUACGAAUGAUUAUUUCCGUCAUUUUGACACUUUAAUCUAAACCAUAAGAGGCUUAUGUAUAGUUUUGGAAAUCAUAUGAGGGUGAUGUAGAAAAAAUACUAAAUCAGAGGAGGGUAAUUUGCCCUUCUAGAAAAGUAUUUGCUUUUGUUUAAAUAUGACAAUAGCAGCAAAUAAGCUCCUCACUGCUUAAAACUAACAAGCGUAUAAAUAUAGCAUAUCCGUAAGUGCUACAUCUUGAAUUUCUAUGGAUUGAAAGCUUCUAUAAUUUGUUCAAAACUCAUCGCAGAAAUGCCUCUAAGCCAGAUAUACAAAAUUGUAGUAACAUUUGUAAUGAUCUCAAGCAGAAAAGUUAACCACUGCAUUUACCUGCCUACGCCGAAUUGUCUGCCUCGCUGAUUCUCUAUUUGCCAAUACACGACGAAGCCUUCGUGUUUCCUUUUCAAUCUGCAUUUAAGUCCAAUUAAAGAGGAGUAAUAUCAUCCAUUUCUUUUGAGUUGGAGGAAGAGGGGAGAAGGGAGACGAAAAUAAACGAUCUUGAACGCUAGGUACCUCAGUUGAAGGUUGCCUUGAGCUGCUACCACCAACAGAAAAAUAACUAGUGGAACACGACAAGCCUCCUGCUUUAAAUUCAUCAUUUUUCUCAUCUUUUACAGUUCUAGUGAUCACAUUUGAUACCCUUUCGGAAGGCUCCUUGAUCACAAUUGCCUGACCCUGCUAUAAAACAAAAGACGCUCAAUUAUGCACCAUUUGGAGCUCUAAAGAUAAAGAACAAACAUAGUAAAGAGAGAUAUUUCUACGAAUCUACAGUCAGCUCGAAUAAUAAGAAACCAUCUGCUCCAAUGAAUAGUGAUUAUAGCCCCUCUGAAUAUAAGAAAAUUUCCCUUUCCACCAUAAAAAUGGAAAUUGGAAAACCAUGAAGACAAGCGCAGAUAAUGCAAGGAAAAGAAAGAAGGAUGGGGGGAUGCAUGGCAUUACGCUUCAAGGCACCUUUGUAAUCGAUAACCUUGUGUGAUCAUUUUUAAGCACAUUCCAAUCUUAAAGGCAGGCGAAGAAUGUUAAGCUUCAUAUUUGAAAUCUGUUACCAGUAUAAUUAUGCCUUUAAUUUAGUUUGUUUUUUAAUUAAAAAAGGAGAUACUGCUAGCAAAAAUGUCUAAAAGAAAACAUGUCCACCAGCAUUGUUUGAAUUGAAGGAUCUGAUAUGCUGGUGUAUUCCAACCAAAAGUAUCACUACCGGGGAAGACGCAUUGUAUUUAUUAGGUUACAAGAAGCCAAGUGCCAUGGCCCUAUACAUUGUAGUUAAUGAUUUGUAUAAGGUGCAAACUAGCGACGAUAUUUAAGAGAGAAUCUACGGGUAAUGAGCAGCUUAAUCCCGUAUGUCAUCCCCAUAAUGAAUGGCAAAAGUCGUUUUAAGAUCCACCCUAGACCAUCUACGUAGUAGGACUUAGUCUAAUGGUAAUAGGAUCUUUGUGUUGUACAAGCACGGAGAGUUAUUUCUUAACUUAGGUGUAUGUGUCUCAAGUGCAGUAAAACUACACAACUUCCAUUGGUUGAUUUUUAAGUACUUGACGUUGCUACUUCUGCCUUCAAAUAAUGAACGGAAAUUGUCAAUACAAUUAGGACAAUUCAAGUGAAAUCAAAUACAGUUUAAAAGUAAAAAUUUAUGAUUUACUUGAAAGCAAGAAAGCAAGAGGGAUGGGUUGGGUUGUAUGGACGGAGGGAGUGUAAGUAAGAGAUCUCUCGAGUUCGAGUCAUCCUGCUUACACUUAAAAAAAAAGGUAAAAAAAAAGCACAUAAAACGAUUCUUCAUUGCGGACAAAUUAGUUUUGCAUUCACGAAUCAUUAGACAUGUAUCGAUUCAAAGAAUCAAAAUCAUAUAAACCAUUGAAUAUCACAUCAAGAAUAGAAUAAAGUUAUCAUCCAGAUAUUAAUUCCUAAUCAAAAUUUAUUGCAAUUCGGAGGUUUAUUGGUACGCAUGAUCAUGAAUGGCGGCUACACAUAUUUAUUGUUAUUUGUCAUCUUAAAUGGUACCAAGUAGCUAGCUUUCCUACCCGAAUUACCAGUAGGAAUAGCAACAGGGUGGGGCGAGGGCAAAUAGUCCACCACCCGCUCCCGCCAACCUGCCCUGCUUCCCCCAUGGGAGCACCUUCUCCGCCCAUUGUUAUUGUGUUUUUUUUUUGGUUGAAGAAAAAAAGUAUUAUUGCAUAAAGUGUAAUUAAAAAUUUAGUAUAAAUUUAUUAGUAAAUUUAACAUAACUAAUUAAUAAUUUCUAUUAGUAUACAUGUGUAAUUAAUAAUAUUAAUUAUAUUUUAUAUACUAAUAUACAUUAUAUAAUACUUAUAACUAAUAAUAAUAUUAUUAUAAAUUUAUAAUUAAUUAAAUCAAACAAUAUAAUAUAUAUAUUUAAUUUUUUCAACGGAUACCGGGCGGAGAUAGGGCUAUACUUCCCCGCCCACCGCCCCAUUUUUUAAUGCCGCCGGCCCGCCCCUCCCCGGCCCCAUCAGCUUCCCGCCGGGCAGGUGCCCAUCCCUAAUUAUCAGCUAUAAAAAAAAGCGCAUUGCACCUUACGUGCUAAUAGUAACAGUAUGCGUAGUAAACAGUCGGGCAAGUAAAACUUCAUGCUACAGUUAGCCGUCUAGCACUACAAACUGGUAGUAACCGUAACAGACUAGUAGUAGUGAACAAAAGUAUCCAGCCCAGACAGAGUAGCAUCCAGAUGAACCAAACUAAAUAUAAGAAUAGAACCUGAGGAAGAUGAGGAGGUAGAUCACAGGUAGAGGGCGGCUGUGAUGGUUUUUGUGGUGGGAAUGAGGAAGACCCGUAGUUGAUCACUGGUGGGGAUUCCGGUUGUUGGUGGGGCGUGGCGGAAUAGGCUAAACCCGCCAAAGCUUCCGCGGCCUCCAACUCUAAGGUGAUCAUUUUCUCCUCCGAAUCCUCCGAAGCCCCAGCAGUUGUUUUCUCCAUAUCCAUAUCCAUAGCUAGUAAUAGUAGUAGUAAUGGUGGAGGAUGAUAGUGGUAGUAGUAGGAGGCCAGAAGCAUCCAAGGUUAUUAUACUGAUAGUCGUAAAAGAAAAAGAGUUGAAGAGGAAAAGCCAUACAAACCCAACCCUGCGAGGAAGGUAAGGCGGCAAAGUUGUACAAAUACUACCAAGCAAGCAUGCUCUGAUUUGUGUCGUUCCCGAUCAGCAACGAAGUAAGUGACAUGUGUCGCUCAGGAACGUAGCCGCACUACUUUCCAAGUCCCAGGCUCCGAUUUGUGCUUCCGCCACGCGUUACCCAUUGGCCACGUCGGCUGUUUCACUUGUGGAGGAUGCUCGCACGUUCCCCAGCCAGCCAUUGCUGAUUAGGUUCUUUUUUUUCCCCCCUUUUGCCUUUUGGGGAGUUUUGGGCCUUUUUGCCCGGGGGUUGACUAUUCAGUAUAAAUAGUGCUCCCUCCGUCCCAAUAUUAAAGACAUUUAUAGGGAAUGUAACUUCUUAUGUACAGUGAUAUCAUUAUUGACAGCCAAGCCUUUGUUUCAAAUUUACCCUAUCACAAGUACAAUGGUCAACUGCACUUUGUGUUUUUCAUAGAUUAAUGAUUUCGUGGGUCCCAUCUUAACCAAAAGCAUUCUUUAUUUGUUAGAGACACGCGCUAUUAUUGGCCUUAUAAAGUGAGAGUUAGUUUCACGUACUCCUCUGGCUUCUCCAAAUGGAUAAUAAAUAGCAGGUCCCAUCAAAUUUAUUUGAAUUUUCUAGCACAUGCACUACGAGGGCAAGGACGGAACAUUAGAAGGAAAAUAGUGUAGCGUGACUCUAAUUUUGGGACAAUAAAAAAGGUGAAAUAUGACAUUAACAAUGGGACGGAUGGAGUAUCUUGCUCUUCAACAUAGACAGUAUAAGCAUGGUUAGCCGUUGCGGUUGCGUCGCGUUCUCGAUUAUUCCAUAUUCGUCGCGAUAUAUCGAUUAAAUAUCGGGUGAUACACACAUUAUAGCAUAUAAAUUUUUUUUAAAAAUUUAAAAAAAUUACUAAAAUUAAAAUAUAUAAAAAAGCCAUAAUUUAAAAAAAAAAAUAUAAAUCGAUUCCAAAUUAAUUCGGCUGUAUCGAUCGAUAUCACGUAUCACUGACCUAAAUUCAUCAAUAUCAAUCGAAUCAGAGCGAAUAUAAAAGCCAAAGACCUCUUUAGCUGAGUUUCGUCUUUGUCGUCACCACGUGUGCUGCAUGUGUGUCCUAAAUAAGUGGCACGAUGGCGUUUUGUGUUUUGGCUGCUGAAUGUGUUUUUGGUCAAUUGAUGCAACGCCGUUUAGCUUCGCAGCUGACAAGAAAACAUUGGUAAAAAAUAAUAAUAAUUAACCGCUGCACUUACUUUCUUCUCCGUUGUUGUCGAUCGUACCUUCUUUUAUGCUGGAUGGAGCUUACUAGGUGGGAGACUGGCUGUUUUUGUAUUACUUUUCAGCCUUGCAGCUGGAGAAUUAAUGAGGGUGACAUUUGAUUUCUUAGCUUUAGUUUUAAAGGCAAAAAAAAAAAAAAUGUUAAACGUGUUUAAGGAACAUUAGUGCAUUUGCAUGCACCAAGUUGUUGUGAUAUUUGGCCAAAAUUAUUGUGAUUUUCACUUCAAAAUAAGAUUAGCCAUAUAAAUAUUUUUGGAUAUUCAAAAAUGACAGAUACGUAUGAGACUUUAAAUUGGACAGAUCAAGUUGUUAUUCAGGUUUUGUACUAAGAUUCUAAUUAGUAGUGCUUCUUGGAUUGGCAACUGGAAAUUCCUUAAAACAAGAAAAACCAAUUUUCUACUCCUAUUUUUACUGGCAGUAACUACUACCAUGCGUUACCAAGAUUAUAUUGAUCGAUUAUCUAGGCCAUUCAUGAACUUCAUACCUUCCAGAUUUUCUUACCAAAUUAUGCACCAAGAGUUUUCUCAAUUCAAUUCUGACAUCUGUAAUUAGCUUAACUUUUCCUUCUUCUGUCAUGUUUCUGUUCAGCAGCUUUACAGCGAGUGAUGGAGAUCAAAAAGCAUGAAUACAGGGCUCAUGUUUUGGCUAUUCCUGCCCAAUGGUCCGGCCACAUUAAUCCUCUUCUUCAGCUAUGCAAAUCUUCGGUACGGAGGGGGGCUGAAAACCACACUUACCAUUAGCAAAUUCAUCUCCAAAACAAUGGAUAUAAAGUCAGAAGAAGUCCAGAUUGAUUUGAUAACGGACGGCAUUGAUGAUGGUGGCUUCUUCACAAAAGACAAUGUCCCAACCUCCAUGGCUCGCUUCGAAGAUGUUGGCUCAAAAUCAAUUCUUGAACUCAUCCAGAAGUAUACAUGAAGCUUUAGGGGAGCCAACUGACUACAUCAUCUACGACACAUUGCUGCCUUUUGUGCUUGAAUUAUCUAAGGAACUUAAAAUACCUGCAGCGGCUUUCUUAACUCAACAUUGUGGUAUUAACUUCAUAAUGCACCGGUACCAUGGCUCGCUCCUCCUCACCCCCAACACCUCCGGAUUUCAGUGGAAGCUCAGCUACGCUGAUGUUCUGUCUUGUUCUUCUGGAGUGCAGUUGGAGUAUAAAAGGUGCGGUUCUUUUGGCUUUUGGAAGAUAUAGCUCUCCUAGCGCUGAAGCACCCACCACCGCCCGUCCCAUUUCAUAAUAUCCUUCUGCUGUGGUUGUUGAUCACACAAGCUGCGCUGUCUCAGAGACUAAGAGAGAUCACACACUGAUCAUCUCUGAUGCACUUAUUCAAUCUGAAGUUAUUCUAGGGAAAGAAAAGAUUGACGUCAGUUACGAGUCCCCUUCUUAAGUGGUGUUUGAGUUCUAACAUCUGCAUAUUCGAUGAUGUCAUGGCUAUUGUGGCUUAAUACCUUUGAUUUCAUUACCUUCACAUUGGACCUUAUGCAUUUCAUCAUUGGGAACUUAACUUCUCACAGUUAGCUUGUUCAAGUAAUUGAAUGUUCUCUUUAAUAUGUGCAACAGGCACCUAUAGUUUUCGAAGGAAUUGGUCACUCGAUGAACCCAAAAAAUGAUUUGGUAAUUUAGGAUGCAAUUGUCUUGGAUUGGAGCCUUCUAUUAUAACAAAAUCAUGUAGAAUGAAAACAUAUAGAUCUCGCUUGAACAAAAAAAAAAAAUUUUUUGUGCUCCCAACAUCGUUCAUCACUAAUCAAAAUAAAUACCAAAUGAAGAUUUGUACAUAUAUAGCUAUCAUUCUAAUGCUUAAUUUAUUUUUUUUUAGCAUUAGAACUUUAUUACUUGCUCCUACUAUUUAUACCAUUACUUCAAUAGAUAUAAAGCCAUACUACAGGUUUAAAUAAUUUACGCCUAACUGGCAUGCAUGAUAUUUUUCUGCCGAAACCGCGUCCGAUAUGCCGAGACCGACGUGGAACGGUCCAGACCGCGACCGCAACUUUGAACCAUGAUCACAACAGGGCAACGAACGAUAGCACAAGGUCAUCUCCUGCGCAGACCGUCAUGCACCAUGUGCUGAGUUUCCUGCUGAACGAUGGCAAUGUCUAGUGAUUGGUUCGAUUCUACCAGCAGUGUCCUAUUGUUAUAUACAAUUAAGGGUCGGAAGAAUGAUCAAAACUUGUUUGGUGUCUAUAUUAAUCCUAAAAUGACUACCAAAAUCUUAAUGAUAAUAAUCCUCACAAACUGUAGGAGAUGAAGAUCUGCUAUUAAAACAUAUAAACGUUGGUGUUAGUUAAGUCGGGAUGAAUUGAGCAGUGUGCCAAGGACAUGAAGCAAAGAAACAUCCGUUUUACCGUUCUAUUAUUGACUGUUGAGUAAAUACGUAAAAUUUUCAAGACAAGAUUUUCUUUCAUCGAGGAAGGAAACUAGUUAAGAUCAAAUAUGUAUGCCGGGAAGGGUAGCUCAACGCCCUAAAAGAUGUAACAGAAAUUAAUUUUUAAAAAAAUCUCAUAAUCAUAAUUUGAACUAUUCUGAUCCGGAAUAUGCAAAUUUCUGUCAAAGGAGAAAAAAGGGCACAACCGAGAAAUUAGUGGUCAUGAUACGGCAAGCAGAAAGCCUCAAAAAAUCAUCAUAAUAACUAGUCAAUUUGAACUCACUGGCUAGCUCGAAAAACCCUGCGAAUUUUGCCUCUGUAUACGGCAAGGGGGAAAAAUCUGUUUUUUUUUUUUUUUGGGUCAAGCAUGUAUGGCAAUGUCAAUGGCCCCAAAACUAAAUAACGUUAGUAGAAGGUUAAUUUGGCUUCAAGCUCAGCUCGCGAUCGAAUUUCAAACAUCCUUGUCGGCCCAAAUGAUUUAGAGAUGGGAAGCCUGAUUUAUGAAGGAAACAAAAAAUUCUAUAAUAGAGACAGAAUUGUGCGAUGCCACUGCCUCGAACAAUGUCGAAUUGUGACUGCAUGAAUGGAAGCAAACCCAACAAAGAAGGUUUCAUGGCUGCAAAAAUUAUUAUUGGAUAAUUUUUUGUGUGUGCUAAAUGUUAGGAUCUAUUGAUAUAUUGAUUGAAUUUUGAUUAUGAAAUGGAAAUGAAUGCAGAAAUGUGGUGCCUGUAAUUUUUUUUUUUUUUUUGGAGGUAUGAUCCGCUCAUACCCCAAAAAAUAAAGAAUAUAAUGGGUGCAAUUUUGAGGGACAUGAGAAGUGGCGAGAGGGAAAAUGCAGAAUUGAAGAUUGAAAUCAACACGUUGAAGGCAAAAGUGAAAAUAUAUUUGUUCUUGGCUUGUGUCUGUUGCUGCAUUUAGUUUUUGUUGUACUUGAAGGCAAGCAAAGGCAGAAGUAAGGUUUGCUGGAAUUGAAGAUGUUGCAUUAGUUUUGAACACUAUAUGAAAUUUUAUGGUCCAUAUGUUCUAGAAGUUGUAAUGCUGUACUUUUAAAAUGAAGUAAUUCCUGAAUUUUCAUCUAAGUAAUGAAAGUUUUGGAUUUGGAUUGUUUAGUAUAUGUAAUAGUUUUGAAAGUUUUCGGUGUCAAAUUCAAUGUUAUUUCUUUACCCUUUCUUGGUUCCUCAAUUAGGACCCUGACCGAAUUUUGCCUUGACCUCAAUUUAAGGUUGCCUUGACCUGCUACCACCAACAGAAAAAUAACUAGUGGAACACGACAGGCUUCCUGCUUUAAAAAUAACUUGGAUUUUUUGAAGCAUGGAUGCAAUUUUAGAAGACCUUGACGUACAAAUAGCAUUGGAUGAUUGUUAGCUCCUGCGGAGAAGACAUCACUCCAACCAUGUCCUUGCGUUAAAUCCCAAGUUAAUGAACUAUGCCCUUUAGUCCGGUUUGUUUGGAUUGUUUCGUAUUUUCCCAAUUUUAUUUGCUUACAUCAUCUUUACAAUUUCCAAUACACCUUUUUAUCUUCCCAAUAUCUUUUUAUCUCACAUGCAUCACAUCACAAAAAGUGCUACAGUAAAAAUAUCUCAAAUAAUCUCAAAUAACUUACAAUCCAAACAGACCGAUUAAUGUCUGUUGCUUGUUUGAACCUACUCCUUAGAAUUGUGUUCUUUAAAGGAAAUCCAAUUUGUUUUCAGACUCAAAUCUCAUGCUAAAGAAGCUAUGUGCAGACAAGUUUAUGUACCUCAAAGAUAACUUUUUGUUUUUUUGGGUGACAAGACAAGUAGAAAAUGUCACGUCUAAAGAAGUAUCCUCUUGGCCCUUAGGGUUGGUAUAUUUCAAUAAUUAAAGUAGGUACAUUACCUCCCAAAAAUUACUAUAGAAUGUGUUAGUAAUGGAUUUCAAGGUAAACAUUUCUAUAGGUUUCAAAAUUGAAGAAUGAUGUGACAUCUUUUGCUGUAGAUUGGAGGUUCAACGAAGAAAGUUGAAGAUCCUUGAUUGACGCGAUAGAAAAAAUCAGAAGAUUGUGCCAAUUACAAAAGCGAACUUUAGCUCUAUUUGUAGUUUCCCUCAAAAAAAAAAAAAAACUCUAUUUGUAUUUCUUUCUUUUUUCUAAUUUUUUUGUGAAUGACUCUAUUUAUAAUUCGUUUUGUUUUUUCUCUCAUCCCUCCUUACACUUUUCGUAACUGCAAUUGUCAUGUAUAAGAUUCGAACCUGAAUCUGACAAUAAAAAAAAAUACUCUAGAAACCUUUUCCUAACCACAGAUAUUUAUAAUUUACCCAAUAUUCCUCACCCUAAAUAAGUUGCUCUUAUUAUUUUCCUGAGAGACAAUUUCAAUUAUUUAUCUUCUCUUCUAAAAAACAUCUAAAACUACGUUAUAGAUGGAGCUAUUGUACUUUGACCUCUAUAAUUUGUUGAAUUUUCUCGCAGAUAGAUAUCUAAUGGACACUAAUGGAAAUGAAUUUUAAGUGUUAAUUGUUUUAUUAAGAGCAGUCUUUACUCUUUAGUAUUAAUUUUAAAACAAAACAUAUUGAGGAGUAAUAAAUGUGACUCCAUUGGAUGUACUAUUUGGUGCCCUUAGAUUGGAGGUUAAUUUCUUUCUUAAAUACCUAUACCGAAAGACACCUUUUUAGAUAUAGGUGCAAAAUUUCCAAUUUCCCAUUUUCAAUAGAGAAACGAAACAAAGAAGUUCUUUUUUUUUUUUUUUAAAAGAAAACUUAUUCAAGAGCAACACGAAAAAGUCCAUUGAAACAUUUAUGACCCAACUAUAGUCCAACCUUAACAACUCUGCAUCAGCCAGCCCAGAACUGAAGACACCUGCACUACGUGUAUAUAUAUAUUGACCUGUAUCUAUAUACUCACGCACUAAAACACACACGAACACAUAUAAAACGGACGGAAAAAAAAAGAAUAUAUAAAACCCUAAAUUCUAACCCCCACCCCCCCCCCGCCCCCCAAGUUUCACCAUCUUUCGGCUCCGCUUUUUCUUCAUCCCAAGUCCCAUCUUUCUUUUAUUUCUUUUACUAUUUCAUUUUCUCUUUUUUUUUUCCUCUUCUUGACUCCCUCCUUCUCAGUCACAACUGAGUAGGGGUUUCUUACUUUCUUGGAACUUAGAUUCCUCCAUUAGUUCAUCAUUGAUUCAUUUUCCCCCUCUUUAGAUUUGAUUCUUCUUCGAUCCCCAUUAAUCCCAGAACCAAAAACCAAAAACCAAAAACCGAAAAAAAAAACCCAAAAAAAGAAAAUUUUGAAAUAAAAAAUCCAAAGCCCACAAAAAAAUGGAUUCCCAAGAUUCCUCCGCAGCACCGUCCCACCACCCCCAAUCUUUCCACCUCCACCAACAACACCACCAUCACCACCAUCAACCGCCACCUCCUUCCUCCAUUUUAGUAUCCCAGCACCAACCCAACUCUUACCCUCUUCAAUCCAACCCCACCGCUAAUAGUAACAGUAUUAUGCAGCAACAGCAGCAGAACCCCCCGCGAUUCCCGUUUAACUCGUCGAUGGUGAGUUCGUCCGGGCCCGGGCCCGGGCCGAAGCCGUUUUCAGACUAUGUAGAUGGUGGUGGGCAGUCGUCGCCGACCACUGGCGGUGGUAGUGGGCCUGGGGGUGGGUUUAACAUUGAACCUGCUAAGAAGAAGAGAGGCAGGCCGAGGAAGUAUUCGCCUGAUGGGGCUGGUAGUAGCAUUGCUCUGGGGCUUUCGCCCACCCCUGUUACUCCGAUUUCCUCCGCCUCUGUCGUGGGCCUCGCGGAUUCUGGUGGCGGCGGCGGUGGCGGGACCCUUUCAUCCGAGACUCCAGCUAAGAAGCACCGUGGCCGUCCCCCUGGCUCUGGAAAGAGACAGCUUGAUGCUUUAGGUGAUUUUUUAAUUACCCCUCUUCAUAUUACUCUGAUCAUUGGACUAAACCUCUUAUAGUUAUGAUGAUAGUUGUAGUUCUGAGCUUCUUCUGUUUAUUUCUUGCUAAAAGUUACAUUUUUAGAGUAUAAUGGAGUAAAAUUAUGAUUGUGGGGUUGGUAUUGUGGUUGGCAGGAGCUGCAGGAGUUGGGUUUACGCCGCAUGUUAUUACAGUGAAAGCUGGCGAGGUAAAUCGUGAAUGCGGUUCCUUCAAGUGUAAUUUGUCUGGGAGCUGUGUAAUUUGGCUCAUUGAUUAGUCUGUCUUGUUCGUGAUUUUUUUGCAUUGAAUUUGAGAAGAAAGAAAUAUUGAUCACUUUUAAGGAAAUAGCUCCUUUUUAUUGUCUUUGGCUCAUCUGGUUUAUACGAAGCUCAAUUAAGGAAAUAGAAAAGUUAUCUUAAGUGAGUGUGUAACUUAAAAAUCGAUUUCCUAAGUUGAACUGAGCCUUGCUGUCAAAUGCAAAUUCGAGGAGAAGUUUUGUUGGGAGCCCUGGAAAACGAUCACGUCAUUGACUAAUAAAUGAGCUAGAAAUGCUAAUGAGCUGUUUCCUUAUAUUUACGAAAGGUGGGAUACAAUAUGUAAAUUAGCGCAUGGUCCCAUUGCCUGGAGUGCUAGCAUCCUAAAUGACGUUUUUAUGCACAAAAUCUAUUAAAUAUGAAAUAUUAUUUCUCACCUACCGGACACUCUAAAUUGGUUCUGCAUUUCAAAGAUUUAUGCAUGUGAUGUUUUAAACUAAACUUUGAUCAUCCUACAUCACAAUGUCAAUUGAUUGAACUUUUCUGCUUCUCAACUGACUUAAUUUUUGAGGGUUGAAUUGGAUUUGCAUUACAUGUUUCCUAGUUGCAACCUGUGCCUUUAGGAAAUGAAUUUUUGAGUAUGUUUAAAGAGCCCCAAAGUAGUGAUGGUGUUAUCCUAUUCCAGUUGAUAUCAAUUAAUGAGAUUCAAGCUACAUCUCUACAGAGACAUUGACCGUGUAGAGACAAAGCUUUUGUUCUUCAAUUCGUAUUACCUAUGUUUCUAUGUGCACACUACAUCGUCGGCAGAAUAAGGAGGGGAACAAAACAUGCACCAUGUAUAUGGAAAAUAUUUUACACGCCUUGAAAAUUAUUUAAAGUACUUAAAGUUGUACAUCUUACUAAUGUGAUCUAAAACUAUCUCUGGUAUACUUAUGAACACGGUUUUUGGCAACAUGAAGUUUGGUAAAAUAAUUAAUGCGAAAUUUGUCCUUUUGUUUUUAGUUCCCAAGGAAAAAACGGUUUUCGUUGUACUUGCCUGUAAAAUCGGUUCGCUGAAUCUCAUUGUUCUUGUUAUUUAUUGCUGCAUAAUUGCUAAUGUCCAACUUGACUAAAGAACUUUGAACGCCUUAUGCUUCUUAAACAUAAUUAUCAAAAUCUUGAGAAGACAGUUUUGCAAUUUAUUCCUGCUUAAGUUUCUUCUGUAUCAACUUGUAUUUUUAAAUGAGUUUAUCAUAGUAAUGGUUUAUUUUCAAUAUAUGUUGAAAUUAAUUUAUCUUUUGUUGAUUUUAAUUGUGUCUUGCAGGAUAUAGCAUCGAAGAUCAUGGCUUUUUCACAGCAAGGGCCACGUACUGUUUGUAUCCUAUCUGCAAAUGGUGCCAUCUGCAAUGUGACCCUCAGACAACCAGCAAUGUCUGGUGGCACUGUGACAUAUGAAGUGAGUGUGUUAAUCAAUUUCUAGGCUCCCAUGAUAACAUGUUUUACUGCUGUGCAUGUACCUUUGUGGCUGGAUGCAUGUACAGAAGGUCAUAAUUGCGCCAACUGUUGUGAUUGGGAUAUUAUCAGUUUCUAAUUUGUGGACAAUGGAGUCUAUUUUAGCAGGUUGUUGACAUUAUGAUGCAAAUUCAUAUUUGAUAUUAUUCCUAUCUACCAAGAAUAAGUGCAGUUUUUUAUGUAGUUUUCUUUAUUGUUGUAAUAUGGGUUCCCCAGUGUUAUUGUACGUAGUAUGCUUAUGAAGUUUCGAGCUUUACUACUUGUUCUCCAUUACAGUGUUUUCUUUCCUGUUUUGUACUGAUUUUCUUGUGUUUAUAGAGGUGGGAUGUAGAGUCCUCGAGUAUCAUGGGUUUGAUGGUCCUUUUACUGUUAGAGGCCUUUGUUUAUACUUGAACUUGGCUUUUGAUGUCAGACUCAAGUAUCAAGAGAGAAAAAUGAGGAAAUUUCUCAAUUUUAGAGUUUAUUACAUGAAUUACUGCAGUCCUUGGAGAUGCCAACCUUUUGUUUUUUGACUUCUCAGAAAGUACUUGGAACUUAACUAUCGUGGAGUUGAUAUUCAGUAUUAUGCAGCAACAGCAGCAGAACCCCCCGCGAUUCCCGUUUAACUCGUCGAUGGUGAGUUCGUCCGGGCCCGGGCCCGGGCCGAAGCCGUUUUCAGACUAUGUAGAUGGUGGUGGGCAGUCGUCGCCGACCACUGGCGGUGGUAGUGGGCCUGGGGGUGGGUUUAACAUUGAACCUGCUAAGAAGAAGAGAGGCAGGCCGAGGAAGUAUUCGCCUGAUGGGGCUGGUAGUAGCAUUGCUCUGGGGCUUUCGCCCACCCCUGUUACUCCGAUUUCCUCCGCCUCUGUCGUGGGCCUCGCGGAUUCUGGUGGCGGCGGCGGUGGCGGGACCCUUUCAUCCGAGACUCCAGCUAAGAAGCACCGUGGCCGUCCCCCUGGCUCUGGAAAGAGACAGCUUGAUGCUUUAGGUGAUUUUUUAAUUACCCCUCUUCAUAUUACUCUGAUCAUUGGACUAAACCUCUUAUAGUUAUGAUGAUAGUUGUAGUUCUGAGCUUCUUCUGUUUAUUUCUUGCUAAAAGUUACAUUUUUAGAGUAUAAUGGAGUAAAAUUAUGAUUGUGGGGUUGGUAUUGUGGUUGGCAGGAGCUGCAGGAGUUGGGUUUACGCCGCAUGUUAUUACAGUGAAAGCUGGCGAGGUAAAUCGUGAAUGCGGUUCCUUCAAGUGUAAUUUGUCUGGGAGCUGUGUAAUUUGGCUCAUUGAUUAGUCUGUCUUGUUCGUGAUUUUUUUGCAUUGAAUUUGAGAAGAAAGAAAUAUUGAUCACUUUUAAGGAAAUAGCUCCUUUUUAUUGUCUUUGGCUCAUCUGGUUUAUACGAAGCUCAAUUAAGGAAAUAGAAAAGUUAUCUUAAGUGAGUGUGUAACUUAAAAAUCGAUUUCCUAAGUUGAACUGAGCCUUGCUGUCAAAUGCAAAUUCGAGGAGAAGUUUUGUUGGAGCCCUGGAAACGAUCACGUCAUUGACUAAUAAAUGAGCUAGAAAUGCUAAUGAGCUGUUUCCUUAUAUUUACGAAAGGUGGGAUACAAUAUGUAAAUUAGCGCAUGGUCCCAUUGCCUGGAGUGCUAGCAUCCUAAAUGACGUUUUUAUGCACAAAAUCUAUUAAAUAUGAAAUAUUAUUUCUCACCUACCGGACACUCUAAAUUGGUUCUGCAUUUCAAAGAUUUAUGCAUGUGAUGUUUUAAACUAAACUUUGAUCAUCCUACAUCACAAUGUCAAUUGAUUGAACUUUUCUGCUUCUCAACUGACUUAAUUUUUGAGGGUUGAAUUGGAUUUGCAUUACAUGUUUCCUAGUUGCAACCUGUGCCUUUAGGAAAUGAAUUUUUGAGUAUGUUUAAAGAGCCCCAAAGUAGUGAUGGUGUUAUCCUAUUCCAGUUGAUAUCAAUUAAUGAGAUUCAAGCUACAUCUCUACAGAGACAUUGACCGUGUAGAGACAAAGCUUUUGUUCUUCAAUUCGUAUUACCUAUGUUUCUAUGUGCACACUACAUCGUCGCAGAAUAAGGAGGGGAACAAAACAUGCACCAUGUAUAUGGAAAAUAUUUUACACGCCUUGAAAAUUAUUUAAAGUACUUAAAGUUGUACAUCUUACUAAUGUGAUCUAAAACUAUCUCUGGUAUACUUAUGAACACGGUUUUUGGCAACAUGAAGUUUGGUAAAAUAAUUAAUGCGAAAUUUGUCCUUUUGUUUUUAGUUCCCAAGGAAAAAACGGUUUUCGUUGUACUUGCCUGUAAAAUCGGUUCGCUGAAUCUCAUUGUUCUUGUUAUUUAUUGCUGCAUAAUUGCUAAUGUCCAACUUGACUAAAGAACUUUGAACGCCUUAUGCUUCUUAAACAUAAUUAUCAAAAUCUUGAGAAGACAGUUUUGCAAUUUAUUCCUGCUUAAGUUUCUUCUGUAUCAACUUGUAUUUUUAAAUGAGUUUAUCAUAGUAAUGGUUUAUUUUCAAUAUAUGUUGAAAUUAAUUUAUCUUUUGUUGAUUUUAAUUGUGUCUUGCAGGAUAUAGCAUCGAAGAUCAUGGCUUUUUCACAGCAAGGGCCACGUACUGUUUGUAUCCUAUCUGCAAAUGGUGCCAUCUGCAAUGUGACCCUCAGACAACCAGCAAUGUCUGGUGGCACUGUGACAUAUGAAGUGAGUGUGUUAAUCAAUUUCUAGGCUCCCAUGAUAACAUGUUUUACUGCUGUGCAUGUACCUUUGUGGCUGGAUGCAUGUACAGAAGGUCAUAAUUGCGCCAACUGUUGUGAUUGGGAUAUUAUCAGUUUCUAAUUUGUGGACAAUGGAGUCUAUUUUAGCAGGUUGUUGACAUUAUGAUGCAAAUUCAUAUUUGAUAUUAUUCCUAUCUACCAAGAAUAAGUGCAGUUUUUUAUGUAGUUUUCUUUAUUGUUGUAAUAUGGGUUCCCCAGUGUUAUUGUACGUAGUAUGCUUAUGAAGUUUCGAGCUUUACUACUUGUUCUCCAUUACAGUGUUUUCUUUCCUGUUUUGUACUGAUUUUCUUUGUGUUUAUAGAGGUGGAUGUAGAGUCCUCGAGUAUCAUGGGUUUGAUGGUCCUUUUACUGUUAGAGGCCUUUGUUUAUACUUGAACUUGGCUUUUGAUGUCAGACUCAAGUAUCAAGAGAGAAAAAUGAGGAAAUUUCUCAAUUUUAGAGUUUAUUACAUGAAUUACUGCAGUCCUUGGAGAUGCCAACCUUUUGUUUUUUGACUUCUCAGAAAGUACUUGGAACUUAACUAUCGUGGAGUUGAUAUUCAAAGCUUGCUCUUAUUCUAAUUUUUGUAAGCUUGACCUUUACUCAUAUAGUACCAAACUCUUUUUGUUUUCCCACCCUGAAAUAGUUGGUCUAAUAUACUUGCCCUGUAUGCUGUCUUUAUUCUCACACAAGUCCUACAUCUUCAUUCCCUUUCCAUGUCUUUUUGUUGGUAUUUUGGGGUUGAAUAUGUAAAGGUGUUGAUGGCUAGAGAUUCUGUUAUCCAAUUUUGGCAACCCUGAUAUGCAUUGAUCAGCGUUGCCCAGAUAACCCAGCUUGCUUUUUUCAGCUUGAGCUAUUGGUUAUGGAAUUCUCUUUUGCUCAUGCAUCGUUUCUUGUAGUCUUUGUUUUUGGGUUGAUCAGGUCAUGCUUUUCGCGAAAGUAUAUCUUAGGACAAAAGAUAGAAAGUAACGAUCAUCAAGCACUUGGCCUUGGUUCUAAGUAGACCCCUCUUCACCCACUCCUUAAAGCGUUAAAAAGGUAUAAGUUGGUGCCUUUUCGGUGACAAGUUGGUGUACUUUUGGUUUUCUCUCCCUAGUGUGGCCCAUGAUCUAUUCCAGCAUGUUGGUGCUGCAUGCUCUGCAUCUUUUCCGUCUUGCCCAAAAGCACACUUCAUUUGGGGAUGAUUUUUUCCUGUAAAAUAAACAUGGUCUGCAAUACAUGAUCCUUCAUAUAUGAAUUUUUACAUGUGCGAGUUUUUACAGAUUUUUGAUGAAUUGCCUGGAACAAUCUCAUCCUACCCUGUUACUUCUUUCGAUUUUCUAGCCUUUCUCUUUCUGAAAUAUUAUUCGCUAGUUAUAUCAGAUACUUAUAGAGUUUGAGACUUCUGCUGUUUACAAGUCUUGCUAUUUUGUAGUGGUCCAGUGUUUUCUGCCAAUUCAAGUCCUUGCCUUGUGUUUAAGUCUUGUGUGAUAAAGGGUAGGUAGUUUUGUUUGAUGAAAGCAAAGUAGUGAUAAUGAUCUGGUAAAUUUCUGAUCAGUUGGCUCCAGAUUACAUGAUGAUAUGCCAUGUGUUGCACUAACCCUCUUUCUAUCAUCCUGUUCCUUGCCUUUCCUUUGUGUAAUAAAAGUGAAGCUUGUUAAUCUACUUGGGUAAUUUUCAUUUGUGGGCUUGUGGUGAAGUGGGUGACACUUAAAUGUACUCAAGUUGGCAGCUAGUGUUACGUGACUUAAUACCUUCUUGUGAGCUACCCUUAUCUUCAAUAAAAUGGCAAGUCUUAGAGAUUUGCUCACUUUGUUUCUGAAAUUGUUCACUUCAAAUUAUUGAGAAAGUUACAACACCAAAUGUCACUCGGAGCCCAAAUACAAUGGUGCAAUGCCAAGCUUAUUGCAAAUAGGCUUGAAAUUGGCAAAAACUUGUAUUACUGUAGAGGUGUGAUAUACAUGGAAUAGUUGGGACAUGUUCAAGCAUGUAAUUUAAGUCAACUUCCUGAGGGAAAAAAGAGGGAGCUUUAUGGAGAUUUGUCGUUUUUGUUCAGGGAAAAAGCAUUCCUAUUUGCAUGGCUGAUGCUACACAUGUGCGUGUGCACACACACCCCAACUCAAAACAAAUUUUUUUUUUUUUUUUUUUUGGCAUCUGUUUGAAUUUUUUCAACAAGUUUUAUUGUUCGUUGUUUAAACUUAAGGCCACAUGAGUUUUGAAUUGUAUGCAAUUUUAGGGAGGUGAAGUGGAGAUACUUGUUUUACCCUUAUUGAAGUGUCAAAUGAGUCUUUGCAUCAUUGUCACCAUGGCGUGAGGUGUAUGAUAGUAUUAUAAGCAGGAAUAAAGCUGCAUAGGUUAGCUCUUUCAAGAAUUCUCAGCUGUUUUGCAUUUCAGAAGGAUGUUGAACUCAUAUUUUCUGCAAUGUGAGAUUCCUUUGUUUUAGCAUGAUAUUAUGGGUUUGAUACACAUACACUAGAACACUUCCAUUAGCAAGCACAAUAAAACUGAAUUUCGUAGACCUUACAAGGCUGUAGGCCAUUCCCUGCUUCUGUUUUCAUAGUGUUGCUUAAGUCUUAGAGCAUCUUACCCUAACUUGUUGACAUGCUAGUCUUUGUUUUUAAUGCUGAGCUAUAAGUAAAACUUGUAUUGAUUACAGAGUUACGAGUCUGUAUACUGAAGCAGUAUUAUUCCUUGUCACAGAAGUUUCUGAGGAAAAAUUGCAGUUUCUUUACAUAUGCAAUAUCUCAGUUUGUUUUCCACAUCUCAACUCACCAGAUAUGGUAAACUGGGUUUUGACAUGUCCUAUUGCAGUUCCCAUUGUAUUAUGUCUCUUCAAAUACAUUAGAAUGUCAAAUUCGUGAAAUUAAGAACCAGAUACUUGAAACUUAAAAACAGGAACAGAAAUUUCAGAAACAUGCAUGAGUAUACCUGUAAUAGUGCCUUAUGUUGAUCUUCUCGACUCUGUUAUUCUGCUUCAGUGUUGUUUGAGUGUAUAUGUUAGAGGUGGACCCUGGAGGAGAUGUGACUUAAUGUACUCUCAGUUAGGUUUAUGGUGUACUGGUGCUAGGUAACAUGUUGUAGUGUGUGUAUUACAGCCAAAUUGCUACCAUAAUGACUACCAAAGGUAUCUUUGCCAUCAUUUUUCUUUCUUUUUCCCCCUAC
rnacentral:lncRNA from 1 species